rnacentral:lncRNA from 1 species
AAAAAAAAAAGGUUAAACCCUAACCUUAAGGGUCCCCCACCACCCCUGCCCUGGAGCAUCAUGAGGGAGGUAAAUCGCAGGUUAUGCCUUAUUAUGUAACUCCGUUAUGCACAAGUAACAUUAUUCUUAAGAAUUUUCAGUGCAACCCACAACUUACCGAUGUGAGAAGUUGCAAAUUAAUGCAACAAAUAACAAGAUGAGGAGUCUUUUAAAACUCUUACGCUAAAGUCUUAUAAGUUUUCUUCUCGAAGGGAUAUUACCAAUAAUUUUCUGUGACCUUGUUAAACUAUGAUUCUACUACAGGAAAUAGAAGUUCUCGCACCAUAAAAUAUGGGGGAAGAUUGUUUAUUUAUAUUUUAAUGGUUUCAAGUAUAAUAAGAUUGUGGUGCACAUAUUCUAUGUAAUUAAUUAAUUUAUUUUUUUUUAAAAAUAACUUUACAUUUAAUUUCUUACGAAAAAGGGUUAAAAAGGAUCGCCCAUCUUCAUUGUAGAUUAAAAUUAUUUUUUUUGGUAAAUUUUGGUAAAAUUGAUGAAAUGUGUAGUUUAAAAGUUGUGAAUCAUAUAAAAUAUGUGAUUAAAAUUAAUUGUCGAUUUUGACAUAAAAUUUUAUUAAUUUUUAAUCUACAUCAAAUAUGUGUGAUGUUGCAUUCACAUCCAUCGAAAGAUUAACCAACCAAGAAAAAAUAUGUAGCAUAUUGAUGCUUCAAACAAUAUUUUAUUAUAACUUAAGAUUGUUACUAUAAUAUUCCACAAGUUGUUAAAUACAUCAAAUAUUAAAGAAUCAUAAACUGGUGUGACUACAAUUGAAUUUUAAAUCUUACGACAUUCAAUACGAUAAUAGCUAAAAGGAAAAAAAAAAAAAAGGCUAAUAAUAAAAAAAAAAAAAUUAAAAAUUUAUUUAUUAUAUCAUCUAGUUAUAUAUAUUAAUAUUGUGUCAAACGAGCCUGAAAUCAUUUUAACAUAGUGAGCAUCGAAAUACGACUUGAUAUAAAAAGAAAGGGCCAAGAAUGGAAUAUAUACGCCAGAUUAUUAAAAAUUUAUUUAUUAUAUCAUCUAGUUAUAUAUAUUAAUAUUGUGUCAAACGAGCCUGAAAUCAUUUUAACAUAGUGAGCAUCGAAAUACGACUUGAUAUAAAAAGAAAGGGCCAAGAAUGGAAUAUAUACGCCAGAUUAUGAACACAUGGAUGCAUCCGACAACAUUAGCCACGAACGCCACAAAUAUUUUUGUUCAACACAUGCACGCACAGUUCGACAAAAUUAUCCGACGAAAGCCACAAAUAUUUUUGGUAAAAACAGUACAACAUGAUCGUGUGAUUUUGAGUAUAAUUGUAACUAAUUUAUUGGUAACGGCGAACCAUGCCCUCCUGGUAGGGAUACAUGUCUAGAGUAGGACCCGACCAUUUGGCCCGAGUUAGUUCGGCUCUUCUUUAAUAUGAGUAGUGGUUAUGGAUAGUGUGUAUCUCACAAUUUUUGGAUUUUUCGACCCUUUUUGACUUCUGAUAUGAAGUAACACGAUUUAUUUUACACCUCUUAUGUAAAGAUUAUGUUGCCUCUUACAUUCAUGAAAGUCUUUUCAUACGUGGAUGAAUAGUUGGGUAAACUUUGUCGUUCCUCAAAACUCUCUAUACUGCUUUUUGUUCAAACUUUGUUGAUUUUCGUUUUGAAUUUUGUCACGCAAAAUAUAUGCUCUUAAAGAAUCUAAAUGGUCCAUGUUGGGGACCUCAACAACUGUUAGGGCAAUUGUUGGCCUACUCUAGAAGUGAUAAAUAGCCAUACACGCACAAUGUUUAUGUAGGAUGAAACCAUCCUUUCAUAAAUUUUACGAAAUUCAACAAGUUGAAAUAUAAUCAAUGCACUAACAUUAUAAAUGCAUACUAAAUAUGCUCUUUAUUUAUUUAAUUAAUUAUUGGUACUAAAUAUGAAUGGUGAAACCUAUGACAAGUUGAAUCACUUAAUUUUAAUUAAAGCAUGUACCUUGUUUCCAAAAGUAAAUUAAGUAAUCAAUAUUAUUAGAUAUUAAAAAUAUUUUUCAGGGUACGUUUUAGUAUACAUCAUUGAACAAAUAUAAGUGGAUGGCACAAAUUUUAAGAUUUUAAUUUCAUUUACUUCUUUUAAUGUUAGUGAAUAAAGCCAUAAUAAGCUUGAAAAUGAAGUGAGAAGUUCAUGUUAUUUUUGAUUAAAUUAAUAAAUAUGAGUCCAAUAAUUCAAUUAUGUCCUUCGCCAGUUAUAUUAGCAAAAAAAUUCUGGUCCACCCUCAAAAUUGGUUGAUUUUUUAGUUUUAUUUUUUUGGCAAAAAUAAGAAAUUUUGCUUUUAUUCAUUUGUUUGACUACCAGUUCGAUUAUAUGAUUGAUCAUCCAAAGCGUGCAGUGGAAGAAAGAAGACAGCUUGAAUACUUUUAGGAAAUAAUACACGUCUUUCUCUUUGUUCAAGAUUUUAUUGUGUCAUAGAUAAUUUUAAUGUAUUCAAUUUUUCAAAUUAAAAGUGAGGUAAAUUAUGUCACUCCUUAAACUCUAUAUAUUACUUUCUUUUCAAAUUUUAUUGGUUUUAUUUUGAAUUUUGUCACAAAGAAAAUAUGUUCUAUCUAAAUGGUCCAUGUUGGGGACCUCAACGACUUUUUGGGCAAUUGCCGGCCUAAUCUAGGAGCUACAAAAAGCCAUACACGCAUGUUGUUUAUAUAGGAUGGAACCGUUCUUUUAUAAAUUUUACGAAUGAAAUGAAUUCAACAAGUUAAAAUAUUACCAAUGCACUGACAUUAUAAAUACAUAUUAAAUAUGCCCUUUACAUAUUCAACUAAUUAUUGGUACUAAAUAUGAAUGGUGAAACCUAUUACAAGUCGAAGCACUUAACUGUAAUUAAAGCAUGAAGUAUAAAGUCUCAAAUAGAGUUGUUACCCUCGAAAUGAACUCUGCGAACCUAGCUGGACUCACUUAAAGAUUAUGAAUCAUUUUUCAUAACCAGACUAGCUACAUGCUUUCAAUAAAGGACACAUGGACGAAUUUAUAAAUCGUGAUUACUAACCACAUCAGUUAUAAAAGAGCCAAUAAGGAGCCACCAUCUGGUAUUUUCUUUAAAUGACAAAAUUACCCUAUGCUUAGAGGAAAAUUUUAUAAAUAUUCCCUAUUUGAAGAUAUAUGGAUGUAAUUAGGGGUGUCGAUCAGGCUCGAGGCUCUGGUUGAGCCCCAUUUUGGGGUGCGGGACAAAGCUCGAGCAGGCUCGUGUGGCUCGGGUUCACGAGCCUAUAUUAAAAAAAAAAGAUACAAAAAAAAAUAUUUUAAAAGGAAGCAACAUGCUGCCUUUUAAGGCAGCGUGUUGCUGCUGCUUUGUUUGGCAGCACCCUGGUGCCCUUUUUAUUAAUUAAAAAAAAUAAAAACCAUAACAAAGAUCAAGUUUGCCCUGCUCGGGCUAGAAAAAAAGCUCGAUCAAAUACCCGAGCCGAGCCUGAGCCUUAAAUUUCGGCUUGCGAGUCGGCUCGACUCGUUGACAUCCCUAGCUGCAAUUCAAAUAACCCCUCUGGCCUUCUCAAAUAGCUAUUUCUUUUCUUUCUCUUUUGAGUAUCAAAAUUAGUGAGUUUGGAAAGUGAAAGUCAUAGCUAGGUGAGUAGUUGUUUAUCUGAUUUUUAUAAUAAACAAAUUGGCGUCGUCUAUGAGAAAACUUGGACAAAGUAAACCACGAAACUCUUCAUACUUGGGGGAAAUUUUUAGCAUCUAAAAAAAAUGAUGAAUCCUACGAGAUAAAAUCUAGAAGAAAAGUUAUCAGCAGAAGCUAGACUUAAAGGAUAGAGUAGCAACGAGCGUUUAUAUAGUGAUACUAAUCCAAAACGACAGCGGAAAACAUGUUUAAAACCUUAAACUAGCAUUUCUUCUACUCUACGUCGUCACUUGAGGAACAAAGGCAUCUAUUGCCAAAACAAUACAGAAAACAGUGGAAAGUCUAAAGGUACUAACAGUGAAGAAUGCGUCGUUACGAGCAAAAGCUAAAAAUUCGAGAAAAGAUUGAUAAGGUGAUUUGAGAAUAAAUGAAGAAAAGUAUGUUCUUAGCUCAUUUCUUGAGAAGAGUAGCAGCUUGCAAGUUUCAAAGACUAAUGAUAACAUAGAAAAGAAGAUGAAGGAUCGAUAUGAGAACCAAUAUGCGAUAGGGAUGUCGAUAAACGAAUUAAGUUCUCGCUAUAGGAGAUCAACUCAAAAUUACCGUUAAGGAGAUCCAAAAACUAAGAAUUAUGGCGAUACAUCAUAUAGUACUCUUCCAACAAAAGAGUACAACAAUCAUUCGGCUAGAUAAUAUGAAAUUGAUGACGAUGAUGAAUGUGUACUAUUCUCCAUGGAAAUCAAGAAAGUGUCAAUCUCGAACUAUGGAGAAGUAUAGAAGAAAAGGAGAUCCUAUAUAUUAUCUGAUCGAAUACAUGACAUAGUUGAAAUUAAGAAAGUUAAGCCCCACGCGGAAGUGCCAAAGGUCCCACUUACUCUGGAUGGAUCGGCUAAAAGAUGUUACAUCGAAUUGCAGCUAGGAUUAAUUAGAAGCUUCAUAGGAACAUUAGCUGGAAGUAAAAUGGGACAAGUUCCAGCCGCAUGAUUGAAUGACGUGCGACAAGAAGAAAGAGAGUCUCUAAGAGCUAUUUCUCAUGGUUCAAUACUGAAUUGAUAGCUUGUGAGACUAGAUGCCUUAUGGAAUGGUCUAUUGAUGGUAAUUCCCUUCUAGGGUGAUGUUCAAAACCGAAAUCGUACUUCUUAUUAUCUUGGUAAAUUUGAUCUAAAGUGAGAUCCAAACAGAAGACACUAUCACCAACUAAAGGAAGAUAGAGGAAGCUUGAACGAAAAAACUCAAAGGUAAAACCCCUACACAUUCUUUUAAAUUGACAAAAUAAUAAUGUUCGUAUUUUGUGAUGCCUAGAAAUAGGGUCUACGCAAUAUCCUCAGCCCCUGUACCGAUCAUCGGCAAAAAACAUUUUUCUCCGAGAAAUUAAAAGAUGAAACUCUGAUAAAUUUAAUGAUGCUCAUUUCUAGAAGAAUCUAGAAUUACUUGCCUAGAAUAUCCUAUAAUUCCUUGGUAAGCAAGUAUAAUAAAAAAUUAGAAUUGUCUAGAUUCCACUAGAAUAACUUGGACACCAAAAAACCUUGUAUAUGUUAUAGACACUUGUAGAAUUCUCUAGAAGUUAUAAUAAGAGUCUAUAAAUAGGGCAUGAUCCCUCAUUUGUUAGUAAGAAAAAGAAGCUAGACAAAGCUCAAACUAUUGUAAACUAUCAUCAUUCUAAUAAAAUUCCUUUCUCCUACCCACUUUGUCCACCAAAUUAAUUUCUACCAAAAUCUUACAAACUAUUAACUUUCAAUAAAAAGCCAACUAUUUUUUACCUCCAAAAUUAUUCCAUACAAAACAUCCUCAAUCACCCUAUCUCAUCACUACAACAACACAAAAACUAUCAGACUCUACAAGAUUCAUCGCUCCAGAGAUCACAAUAUAGAUGAAUGUUAUGAGAUAUUAAGCAUGAUUAAGCUGCGAAGUAAAUAAAAAGGUCCACAUGAGAUAAUUGAAAGAAGAAAAUCAUCUUAUCCAAGUAAGGAACAAGGUUACGGAAUCAGACCAAGGCAGGCCGAGCCUCAGCAAGCACCAUCAAAUGCUUCUAGCUUUCUACCCCCGAUAAAGGAGAUCAAUACCAUAAUCAGAGGCUCGUAUAUUGGAUGGGAUACAAUGAGUGAACAAAGGAGCAAUGCUCGCACAACCAGGAACCCCAUACAUAAAGUAUUUUGGAGUCGAGGUAAUCGUAAACCUGCAUCUCUUCCAAUUACUUUUGAUAGUAAUGAUGAAUAUGGAGUCAAACCUCCCUAUUGCAAUGCAUUGGUAGUACGGGCUCUAAUAGUUGAUAAUGGCCUAGUUGCAUAUUGUUAGAUAAUGGCGGUUCUAUUUAUAUUCUUUUUGGAAGUGUUUUUGACCAAAUGUAGGUUGAUCACCCUUGGAUUUCCAUGGUCGAACCCAUAUACGAUUUUACAGAGGAAUGUUUGAUCCAUGGGGACAAAUUACGUUGAUAGUUGAGCUCGAUGAAGAGUCAAUUACAUUUCAAUGACACAUGGACUUCUUGUCAUGGAUAUCAAAUUUGAUUACAAUGGGAUCUCAGGAAGACUUGCUCCUCUGAAGUCCUUGAAAAUGGGCCUCCUAUCUUUCAAUCUGAAGAGAAGAGUAAGACUAUCCUAUUGAUUUGAUCUACCUGGGCCAAAAAAGGGUCUUUCCCGCCGUUUAAAGCGACUGAAAACAAUAGCACCUAUCCACCACUUGUUCCUAAAAUUUGAAACUCACCAAAGGGUGGUCUGUAUCAAGAAAAACUAAGCUGCCACAAGAGAAUGCUAUAUUAGUGCUCUAAAAAAAUCCCAAAACCAUAAAAGGGUAAUACUAUAUUUAUGAUUGAGAAGAAUUGAAACAUGUUUGAAAAUCCUUUUAUAUGAAAGCAAGUAUUCGAUGUUGCAAACGAUAGAUUGAAAGACCUGGCGCCCAAUAAGGAUAACUUCACAAGUACUAAAAAAAGCACGGGUCUUGAAACAUAGACUAAUAUUGAACCUAAUGUAAGGUUUGCAAAAACAAGAGAACUAAGGGCGAGUUUCAGUUCGCCAAAGAAAUUUCAAUCGAAUGCAUAGUUUAUCCCAUUAAAGAAAUUUCAACUGAAGGCGAGGUUUAUUCAAUCAAAGGAAUACGAGGAAUAAUUUCCAUCGAAAAGGAAAUUGUUGUCAAAGAAUGAGGCGACGUCUAAACAAACUUAAAUGUUGUGACUUAUUAUAAUAAUGCGCAAAGUACUUAUGGUAGGGAAAACAGCAGCAAUCCCCAUCUCCUUAUGUUGUGAUGAUGAUUUAAUUAAAUUUUAUUGGGUAGUUAGCACAAAACGUCUUUACCUUUCAAUGUUAUUGUGCAAAACGUUCAUACCCUUUAUUUUUUAGCACUUUAACCCUACCAUCACCUUUCAUUGCGAAAAUCAUCAUUUUUUAUUAAAUUUUUCAUGUAAAAUGACAAAUAUACUCCCUAUUUAAAUAAAACAAUAAAAAAGAGAAGAAAAUUAAAGAAUAAAUUGCAAUCAUACUCCCACACUUUUUAAAAAUGUAAAUUAGUCCAAAUAAAUUAUUAAAAGAGUAUUUAGUACAAAACGUUCAUACCUUUCAUUCUUAUUGUGUAAAACAUUCAUACUUUUCAUUUUUUGACAUUUUCACCCUUAUUUCAUAUUUCAUUGCAAAAAUCAUUAUUUUCAUCCAUUUUUUCAAUUAAAAGCUAUAAAUGGCAAAUAUACACUCCUCUUUAAAUAAAAAUAAAUAAAAAAAGAAGAACAAAUUGUAACUAUAUUUCCAAAAUUUUAAAAAAAUACAAAUAAAUUCCAAAUACGUAAUUAAAAAAGAAAAUGAUAUUUUUUUCAAUUAUUAAUUAGAAAUUUAUUUGUACUUUUUUUGAAAAAUUUGGGAGUAUAGUUGUAAUUUGUUCUUUAUUUUUCUUUUCUUUUUUUUUUUUUGUUUAUUUAAAGAGGAUGGUAUAUUUGUCAUUUUAUAACUUUUAAUUGAGAAAAUUGAUGAAAAUAAUGAUUUUUGCAACGAAACAAAAAUUAGGGUGAAAAUAUUAAAAAAUAAAAGGUAUAGACUUUUUGCACAGUAAUAAUGAAAGAUAUGAAUGUUUUAUGCUAAUUACCCUUUUAAUAAUUUAUUUGGACUCAUUUGCACUUUUUAAAAAAGUUUGGAAGUAAGAUUGCAAAUUAUUCUUUAACUUUUCUUUUCGCUUUUAUUGUUUUAUUUAAAUAGGGGGUAUAUUUGUCAUUUUACACGAAAAAUUUAAUGAAAAUGAUGAUUUCUGUAAUAAAAGGUAAAUGUAGGGGUAAAAGUGUCAAAAAUGAAAGGUGUGGAUAUUUUGCACAAUAACAUUGGACGGUAAAAACGUUUUGUGCUAAUUAGCCACAUUUUAUUUGAAAAGUUGCGUUGUUGAAAUGAAAAAUCUACACAUGAACGAUAGAUUUUAUUGUUGGUACAAAUUAAUUAUAAGUGCAUCUAUGCAAAGAAUAAAUAAAUAACAAAUGAGCAAUACAACGCGAGCUCAAAAAGAUGACCCAAUAAAUCAAGUCAUACAACAUAAACAAUGAUAUUUCUAUAAUGAAUUGUCGAAGCGGCAUUUUCGUACAAAUAGAAAUAAAAUGUAAUAAAUAAAACAAAAAAUGAGAAAAUGAGACAAAAAGCAAGCUAUCUGUCUAAAUUGAGAAAAGGCUGAAGAUUUCCAAAAGCGAGAUCAUUUUGGCUAAGUGGGACGUUUCCCUCAAACGACACACUCUUCUCGAGGGGAAGAUGAGCCUCGAUAGAAGCAUCAGCUGGUUUAUCUUUAGCAGUAGCUUCGCUGGGAAGAAUAGCUGUAGAAUUUGCAAGUUGGGUAGGUUUGACAGGAGUGGACGGAUUGUUAGAAGCCCUGCGGCUAACGGAGUACCUUCGUCGAAAGUGGUGUCCUCGACAUCCUCUUUGUGAACCUCCAGAAAACCCUAAUCCCACUCAAGAUGGAUGUUCUUAAUAAUGUCAAGAAGUCAAGACAUUUGUUGCCGCUAUCUUGCAUGACCUUCUCCAUACGUUUCCACUCAUUAGCUUUCACUUUGGAAAGGCCAGGCUCCACAAAAACCAAUUUUGUCUCAAUAUUCUCCAGAUGAUUGAGAAGUAAGACUUUAUCACUCCUGGCCUAGUCCAACUCUUCAAAGAUGGCAAACUGUUCAACCUUAAUUGAUUGAAUAUCCUUCUGAAGCAAAAAAGCUCAGUAUCAAUUCUAGCGAUGUAAGCAGCAUGGUUUUCUUUGACCUGCUCUAAGUCCUUAGUGACUAGUGACAUCGGCCAAUAGAGAAGCCUCCUUUACAGUUAGAGCCUAGCCUUUGCUCAUCUCUCUGUAUUUUCUCCUCUCUUUCUCAGCUUUCCCCAACUUUUUUUGAAGAGUUUCACAUCUCUUCUCCAAAGAGUCAGAUCUUUUCUCUAGUUUAUUGGCCUGCAAAAUUCUGACCUCAUAUUCAGCCUGCUAAUCAUGAUGAAGGAUAGUAGCUUGUGUUGACCUCGAAAAUUGGACUUUUCACGUGAUCAACCGAUAGCUACUCCACGUAUUUCUCCCUGCGCACAAUCAAUGCACGGUCAGACUUAUACGGUCGGGACCAGCGGAGGUGGCGACGGCCGUAUACACUCCGACGGUCAAGUCAGGUUUAGGUGAUUGGAACAGUACUCAGGGGUUGUGCAAAAUAAUAAUAAAGGGGAUGAGAAAAUAUAUAAACUUGCUAUGGAGUGCUAUGUAGUAAAAGUUUCAUUACCUUUGCCUCUUGUCAAACCUUGAGUAUUUAUAGGUGGGAUGAACAAUUGGAUGUGAGACACGUGUAUACAUCUGAAGGUAUGAGGUGUCUGCUCAUAGGCGUCAAUCAGUCGCAUCUGUAGAGUGGACGGACAGCUUGUUUUUUCUGAGUUGAAUUGACAUAAAGUUGAUAAGUCACAUCAACUAGCUUCAUGGAGAUGUCAAAUCAACUUAAACCUUAGGUGCAGAGAGGAUCUUGGCACAAAUCUCUUUCUGAAAUUGACGACGGAUCUUCUAACAGGGGUCCACUUGGCCUCGGCCUCGGAGGCGAUGAGUUUCGAUCAGUUCAAUAGGAUCGCCUAUACCUCACAGUGUGCUACUAGGUUGUUGACAGUGGUGGUAUCACUUCGAAAACACUUCGGAUGGGUGUCUAUCAGGUCGAAAUGUGUGGUGGUGGGCGUUCCGAGACGGUUCAGAUAAGGGCAUAAUAAUGGUCUCCCAAGUCCAGGUAUGAAUAUUUAUAUCAUGGGUGGACUUGCUUUCCUGACCGGAUGUGGAUGCCUCGGUAUUGGGGACCACUACUCGUGGUAACUCGUGGGUCGAUCUUUUGCAGUAACCGAAGCCUUGAUCUUAGGUAGAUGCGCCAAAGCUACGUUACUGCGUAAGGGAAACAAUAAUCGAUGUGAGGUCGAAGAGCUGCAAGACUGGAUGAUUAGUAGGAAAUAGGUCAAUGCGACGAUCGAGGCUAUGACCCACAUAGGACUCGCGUUAGGGGUGCCUAAGCUUUGUAAAAUUGAGUGAGGAGCUCAUCUGCCAUCGGUACGCUGACUUACAGGGACGACACGUUGGGAGAUGGUUUAAAACUUUGUAAAGCUUGGGAGUAAACGCAGCGUCCGAGGCGAUGAUCCACAGGGGACUUCGCAUCAGGUGCGUCUAAACUUUGUAAAGUUGAGUGAGGAGCUCAUCUGCCACUGGUGCACUGACCUACAGGGGCCGACGUAUUGGGAGAAGGCUUAAAACUUUGUAAAGCUUGGGAGAGAACGUAGCGUUCGAUACGAUGAUCCAUAGGGAAUUUCGCGUCAGGUGCAUCUAAACUUUGUAAAGUUGAGUGAGGAACUCAUCUACCACCGGUGCGCUGACCCACAGGGGCUGACGCUUUGGGAGAUGGCUAAAACUUUGUAAAGCUUGGGAGGGAACGCAGCGUUCGAGGCGAUGACCCACAUGGGACUUCGCGUCAGGUGCAUCUAAACUUUGUAAAGUUGAGUGAGGAGCUCAUCUUCCAUUGAUGCGCUGACCCACAGGGCCGACGCGUUGGGAGAUGGCUAAAACUUUGUAAAGCUUGAGAAGGAACGCAGCAUCCGAGGAGAUGACCCACAGGGGACUUCGCGUCGGGUGCGUCUAAGCUUUGUAAAGUUGAGUGAAGGGCUCGAUCCGAGGCGAUUCAAACGUCAAAUGAUUUGACAACUGUUGCAUAUUUCCAAGGUGACAGAUGGGUGUCAUGCCCAUUCUCCUAAAAGGCUGCUACGGCUACUUAUUAUUGACGGCUGGUGGUGAUCGAAGUGACGCGUUUUAAGCGAGCGUGAAAGUCACAACGAAAUCUUAGGCGUAGGUCAAAUUUGGUGUUUCAUUUCAAUGGCCCAGAUUGAAGAUGCGACGAACGGUUUAGAUUGAUCGCAUUUGAAUUCAACGGUGGAGAUCAGAUGGGUCUUUCUAUAAAAGGCGGACUCUGAGCUUUUCUCAAGCUUUCUACCCUUGCGAAACAAACACUAUAAUUUGCUCUCAAGUCAUUUGCGAUUUUCGACAUUUUCGAAGCAAUUCCAACGAGAAACUUGAACUUCCGGCGAGAAACACCAACAUCCGGCGACCUUACACCAUUCCCGGCUAGGAAAACCUUCAAAUUCGUAAGUUUCAGUACUUUUUAGGAUUUUUAACUUCUGAAAAAUGGCUUCUGAGGGGAGUUCUGGCUCGGGGAGGGGGUUAGAACUAGUGAGGAUGGACGAGCCCAUUAUGGCAACCUCCUCAGAAAUAGUCGAGGCGAUAAUAGGGGGAAAAUAUAUGGAAGCAACCGGAUAGCCCAGCAGAUACUUCUGUGCACUGGGGGGCAUCGGACUACCCAUCUAAAUUAAGAGAGGCCGACCUGGGGAGACUUAGGAUAGAGUAUAAGAUCCCUGAUAGUAUAGAUUUGAUCCUCCCUGGGCCCGAAGAGAGGGCCUGCUACCCUAGGCCGGGUUGUGUGGCCAUUAGCGAGGCGAUCCUUAGGGCCGGACUUAGGCUACCAGUUCAUUCAUUCUUUAGGAUGGUGCUUAGAUCCUAUGGGCUAGCCCCGACGCAACUCAAUCCAAACUCCUAGAGCCAAAUGGUGGGCUCCUGGAUAUUGUGAAAAGAGGCGUCAUUAGGGGUGGAGAUGCCCCUCUCCGUCUUCCAGACCCUUUACAUACCUAAGGUAAUUGCCGAAGGGGAUAAGACCCGGGGGUGGUACUACCUUACUUCAUGGGGUUCCCACACUCCAUUCGUGGUCGAUCUGUCGAGCUCCAUCAAAGAAUGGAAGAGCCUAUGGUGUUGGGCCGCAGGGCGAUGGGACACGAUGGAGGGGGACCCCCUGGCGGGUCUUACGGUCCCGGCGAAGUAUUCAAUACUUAGUGAGUAUAGUAGUUGCUUUUCUUUAUAUUUCUCUUCGGUUCGAAUUGUGCCUAAUAUUUGCAUUUCCUUUGUAGGUGCUCUUCCUCGGUGCGAGGUGUCAUCCGAGGACUUCGAAACCAUCUGCAUCAUCUAUCAGCUGCCUCAAAAGAAGAGGUCUUACCAUAGGUUGAUCCGAAAGAACAUUCACUUCAUUACCCACGACCUGAUGGCAUCCCAAGGUAACUGGACCAAAGUCUUUACCCUUUAUUCUGAACUCUCAACACUUGUACUAAUUCAUCAUUCGUUCUUUGCAGACAACUUUAAUAAGAAAAUGCCUGUGCGCCGCUACUUUAAGACCGUCCAGAGGAUGAUGGCAGAGGCACGGGCAUUGAAGGCCUCCUCCUCCUCCUACAAAAAGCAAAUAGAGGAUUUGGUGGACGCCAAUAAGAGGCUUCAGCCUCCGAUGGAGGAGGAGGUAUUGGAGGACCAGGAGGCUGACCUUCAGAGGAAGGGCAAGAAGAACGCCGCCCCUCCAAAAUGCCUAACUGUGGCGAGGCCAUCCCGGCUAUGAAGCAAACCACAAUUCCAACCGAGGUGGCCAUUCCAAAGAAGAGGCCUGCUCCAUCUGAGGCUGCCACUGCCCCGGCUACAACACCACUUGCUGUUGUGCCAAUUGCUCAAGUGCCGGGGUAACAGAAGAGGAAGAGGCCUCGUCCCUCUAAGGAGGUCGACUUUUUGGGCACAAAUCCGGAGGAACCGGUGAGGGAAGUGUUGGAGGCCCUUCCUCCAGAAAUAGCUACAGUGGCGAUGGUCCACAGCAAAUACUGGAAUGAGGAGUGGAGGGACCACACCGCCUCGUGCACAGCUGAGGACUUGGUGGCUGCCAAUAGCGCCUGCGUGGCUCGGGCCCUGAGUACAAGCAUCCAACUCGAGGGCCUGGUGAAGGAUCUGAACUCCAAGAGGGAGGAUCUCGCCAAGUGCCUCGAGGAGGCGAUGCACUAUGGGGAUGUCGUGCGAGAGGCCCAGGCCAAGGCCACGCAGGCGGAGGAGGGAAAGAAGGAGGCCGAGGCCCAGCUAAUUGCCGCCAAAGCGGAAGUGGAGUGGCUGAAGAAGGAGUUAUACGAGGUGGAGUGCCAAGUGGCUGCUGUGACUCGGUGAUUUAAUCACGCCAACGAGCAACACAAGCUCGUCACCGAGGCUCUGAAGGCCUUAAACAAAGAGAAGGCGGAGCUGAGGCAGAAGGCAGAGGCUCAGUCAGAGGAGAUUGCCUCUUUGAAGGAGGAGUUGAAGUCUGCAGGGGAGGUAGCAGUUCAGAACUUCAUCGACCACUUUGAAGACCAUCCCCUGUAUGAAGACUUCACCAAUUUUUGGGCUUCUUGGAGUGCUCAAGGCUCAUUGGGUCAACUGAAAGAGGUCCAUCCCACUCUAGACAUCUCCUCUUUGGAGGCAAAGUUCGGGGGACCAACUGGAGGUCGGCCUGAUAAGCUUGCUGAGGAGGCUCUGGAGGCUUCGGAGGCAGUCGACGCAGAUGUCCUUCCAUUAGAAUAGGGCCAUCUUUUGUAAUGGUUUCGGCCUCCUUAUACCUCAAUUCUUAUUUAAAUGAAAUGAAAUUUUUUGUUAAGUAUUUGUGCUUCUGUUUUCUUUUCUUUUGGAUUUGUUUAUACUUGCUUGAAUGACAAACAUCAGACUAAGCACCAUGUAACAAUAACCAGUUAAUAAUUGAGGAUCGGACCACUUAAGUUAAUAUGAAACGGACCACUUAAGGAAACAUGAAGAGUCUCUCAACGUUAAUCAGUUAAUAAUUGAAGAUCGAAUCACUUAAGUAAACAUAUUGAAGGAUUGAGGAAACUAUUUACUAACCGAUGCGGCACAGAACCAAAGUUUCAUUACUUGAAAUAAAUUACACCACACUUUACCAAGGCAAUUUCCGCACUUAGUGAGCUAGGGAACUUACAACUGAGACCAUCAGAACAAUCGAUUCAUUAGACCAUAUUGAGAUCGGAUCGAAACAAAGGCUCAUCAUUGAUAGUACAUCCUCAAGCGUUCGAUGUUCCACUGAUGAGGCAGUGCCUUUCCUGCCAUGUCUUCAAUUUCAAAAGUACCAGGUCGGGGUUCCCUAUGGAUGCGGUAAGGGCCCUCCCAGUUCGGGCCAAACACUCCUGACCCGGUUGAUUUUGAAUAUUGGAAGACUCUUUUGAGGAUGAGGUCGCCCAGGUGAAGAGUUCUGUUUCUGACCUUGGAGUUGUAAUAGCGGGUCAUCUUUCGCUGAUACUUAGCCAAGUUCACUUGGGAGGCAUCCCUCCUUUUCUCAAGGAGGUGCAGUUCGCUUAUUCGAGUCUCGUCGUUGCUGAUCUCAUUGAAGUGUAUCCGUCGAUGUGAUGGAACCCUGGGCUCAUGGCCUCGGCUCCGUAGGCCAUGGAAAAUGGUAUUUCACCUAUUGCAGUUUGGCUAAAAGUUCUGAUAGCCCAGAGGACAUGGGGGAGUUUGUCAACCCAAGCCCCCUUUGAAGUGUCAAGCUUCCUUUUCAGGAUGUGCUUGAUAGUCUUGUUCACUACUUCAACUUGUCCAUUUGCUUGGGGUAAUGAGGUGUGGAGAAGUCCUUUAUGCCCAAUUCGUCGCAUAAGUCUCACAUUUUCGUGUUGUCGAACUGCCUUCCAUUAUCAGACACUAAGGAGUGGGGAAUGUCGAACUUACAAAUAAUGUUCUUCCAGACGAAUUUGGUAGUAUUUGCCUCGGUGAUCCUGGUAAGGGGGUCUGCCUCGACCCACUUAGUGAAGUAGUCAAUGGCGACAAUGGCCAAAGUUGCACUUCCUCUUCCUUUUGGGAGUGGACCAAUGAAGUCAAUGCCCCACUUGGCGAAUGGCCAAGGGCUGGUUACUACGGAGAGGCUCUGAGAAGACUGUCUUUGCAUGUUCGAGAAGCGCUGGCACUGUCACAUUUCUGGACAAACUGGCAAGCAUGGUUAGCCAGAAGUAGCCUUGACCGAGAACCUUGUGUGCUAGAGCUGUUCCUCCGAAGUGAUUUUCGUAGAUUUUCUCAUAGAUUUCCCUGAGUAUGUAUGUGGCCUCUUCGCCUCCCACACAUCGAAGAAGCGGCGAGGCGAAGCCUCUCUUGUAAAGAGUAUCUUCUUAAAGGACGAAGUGUGCAGCCCUUCUUCUUAAAUUCCUCGCCUCACUUCUAGAAGCAGGCAGUGUUUGAUCCUUCAGGUAGGCGAUGAUAGGCUGCAUCCACAAUGGGGUGCCUUCUAUCCAUAGUAUUUCUUCACCUCCGGAGGUGGAGGGCUUUGAUAAGUGCUCAAUAGGGACGACCUUUAGCAGCUCUAAAUCCUUGCUGCUGGCUAAUUUUGAAAGGGCAUCUGCAUGUACAUUCUCUAGACGGGGGACUUGAGUCAAUUUGAACCUUUCAAAAUGAGGAACUAUGUCCAGAACCAACUUCAAGUACGCAAUUAUGCUACCAUCUUUGGCUGCAAAGUUUCCAUUGACCUGGUUUACUAUAAGUUGAGAGUCACUGCUCGCCAGGAGCCUUCUGACCCACAUCUCCUUAGCAAGUCUAAGACCUGCCAGAAGGGCCUCGUAUUCAGCAGCGUUGUUUGAGGCUUUGAAGUCGAACCUUACUGCACAAUUUAGCUUGACCUUCCGGGCUUUCCAAUACGAUCCCUGCCCCUGAGCCAGUCUCUCCUGAGGACCCAUCUACGAACAGUUUCCAUGUGGAGGGCUCGGCUGGUUCCAUUAUCGCCUCCAUUUUUGGGGUUUUGGCAAACUCAACCAUAAAAUCAGCAAGGGCCUGGCCCUUGAUGGCGUGUCGAGGUCGGAACGUUAGAUCAAACUCACUGAGCUUGAUUGCCCAUUUUAGUAGGCGUCCUGAUGCGUCUGUUUUCUGUAUCACCUGCUUCAGCAGGAAGUUGGUGAGAACUAGAAUUGAGUGGGCCUGAAAGUACGUCCUAAGUUUUCUUGAGGCUGUGAUAAGGGCGAGCGCCAGUUUCUCCAUGUCUGGGUAGUGUGUUUCAGCUGGGAGGAGCGCUUUGCUAACGUAAUACACUGGCAACUGGCGCUUACUUUCUUCCCUGACUAGGACGACGCUGACCGCCACGUCCGAAACCGCUAAGUACAGUAAUAAUGACUCAUCUGGUUGAGGUUUCAACAAGAGGGGCGCCUCUCCGAGGUGCUUUUUCAACGCCUGGAAGGCUUCCUCACAUUCUGAAGCCCAUUGGAAUUUCUUUCCUUAUUUCAGCACACUGAAAAAAAGGCAAGCUUUUAUCUGUGGCCCUGGAGAUGAAGCGACUGAAAGCGGCUAUCCGACCAUUGAGGUUUUGGACCUCCUUUGGUUUCUGAGGUGACCUCAUCUUUAGCAAGGCCAUUAUUUUCACUGGAUUUGCAUCAAUUCCUCUUUGAUUAACAAAAUACCCCAAGAACUGACCCGAUGCCACUCCAAAGGUGCACUUGAGGAGAUUCAAUUUCAUAUUAUACUGCCUAAGUAUCUAAAAAGAUUGGUCGAGGUGACUUACGUGUUCGGCUGCCUGGAGGCUUUUGACUAGCAUGUCGUCCACGUAAACCUCCAUGGUUUUGCUAAUGAGUUUGGCAAACAUCAUGUUGACCAAUCUCUGAUAUGUAGCUCCAUCGUUCUUCAAUCCGAAGGGCAUGACUUUGUAACAAUACAGACCUCUGUCCGUAAUGAACGAGGUAGCUUCCUCAUCGGGCAGGAACAUGGGUAUCUGGUUAUACCCAGAGUAUGCAUCCAUGAAGCUCAGCAGUUUAUGUCCAGUAGUAGAAUCACAAGUUGAUCUAUUCUUGGAAGUGGGAAGCUGUCUUUGGGGCACAUCUUAUUUAAGUUUGUAAAGUCUACGCAUACUCUCCACUUUCCGCUGGGCUUUUUCACUAGGACCGGGUUGGAUAUCCACUUCAGGUAGAUGGCCUCCCUUAUGAAACCACUGCGGCUAAGUUUGUUCACUUCUUCUUUCAGUGCCUCGUACCUUUCUGGAUUGAGGGCACGCCUCUUCUGUCUAUGGGGGCAUAGGAGGGGUUGAUGUUAAGGUGAUGGCAACUGAUCCUAGGAUCUAUUCCCAUCAUAUCUUCGUACUUCCAUGCGAAGACAUCCAAGUUCCUUUUCAGGAAGCUUAUCAUCUCUACUUUUGCUUCAGGGGACAAUGACUUUCCUAUACGCAAGACCUGACUAGGGUUUUCUGGGUUGGUGGGGAAAGUCUCCAAUUCUUCCAUUGGGGUAGCAUUUGGUUUAGAGUCAAUUAUUCGGGGAUCUAACUGAUCAAGAGGGUGUCCUUGUCUAGUGGCCUCUUCCAUGUCGACGUCUGCCUCUUGCUCAGAGGUAUGCCCUUGUUCAGGGGCGUCGAGCAUUUCCACUUUCGUAUUGACUUUAGCGGGAACCUCAGUUAGGAUUACAUUAACAGUUCAGGGCUCAAACUUUAGCAGCGAGUUUAAGUAGCAUGCCCUGGAGCCCAUCUGAUCACCUCGGACCGUAGCAAUCCUAUGUUCAGUUGAAUAUUUCAUGCACAAGUAGUGGAUGGACGUGACAGCCCAAAGAUCUUUCAAAGUGGGUCUGCCCAAUACUCCAUGAUAAGCCGAUCUGUAAUCUACCACCAAAAAUUCCAUGAAGUGUUGGGCCACUAAGGGUGCUAAACCCAUCUCGACGGGCAGAGUGAUCCGCCCUCGUGGGAUGAUGCUGUCUCUAGUGAAUCCGAAUAGUGGGUCGGUCAUGGGGAUCAACCCAUGUUCAAUUUGCAUUUUGUCAAAAGUUGAGCCAAACAAUAUGUUCACGGAACUGCCAUUGUCGACAAGCAUGCAUUUUAGUCCGUUUCUAGCCACUAUGGCUCUUACAACCAAUACAUCACAAUGGGGGUGGUGAACCCCCUUUGUGUCUUUCCGGGAGAAGGUGAUUGGGGCCAUCCUGUCGGCUGCUUGUGACUCAUUGACAAUGUAAGUGAUCAUUGGCGGGUCCUUUGCUUCCCUUGUAUAAUUCCUUUGGGCAUUCCUGGUGUUGCCACCAAUGUAGGGUCCCCCAAUGAUGGUAUCGAUUUCCCUGAUGACCUGACUCCCAGAAAAUUGGGCCUGGUUUCUCUGUCUAGAUUAACCUCGGUUCCUUGAUUCUCUUCUCCGAGGUAAUUGCUCUCUGUGGCCUCUCUUCCCCCUGCUCGGGGAGGCGGAUCUGCAAGGAUAUUCGUUCCUGCUAGAAGGGUGUGGAUUGCUUCGAUCAGGGCGUCGAUUGGCGUCUCGGCACUCACUAGUGUCAUGCCCAUAGAGUUGAUGGAACGUACAAAACCUUACCCCUUCCAAGGGUUUGUUUAACCUUUUCUUCUUCUUCUUCUUCUUCUUCUUCUUGUUAUCAGCUCUUCCAGAUGGUCCCGCUUCGGCAGGGGCAUUCUCAUAUGCCAACACCAGUACUGCAUUCAAUGUGGCGGAAGCCAGGACUUGUCCAGACGUGGGAGCUAUUGUAUGACUUGCUUGGGUCCAUUGCUGAGUAACAAGGUAUGCUGCGAGUCCUCGACCUACCUGCCUUUGAGGCGGAGGGAGUCCCUGCGCGGCACGGUUGCGAUGAUCAAUCAUUUCUUCACUCACAAUUUUCACUCUCAUCAUUUCCACCAGUUCGUCAUAUGUGGAGGGAUUCUUGCUGCGCACGUCCCUCCAGAACAAAGUAUUCAUGUUGAGCCCAUCUUUCAGGACAGAAAGGGCUUCUCUGUCAGUGACCUAUUCGCAGUAGGUGAUUUCGUCUGUAAACCUGGCGAGAUAGCUUUUCAGCGUCUCCCCAGAGGCCUGCCUCAUAUCUUGCAGGCGUUGCACUGGUGCCUCUCCUUCCCUACGUGAGAGGUACUGGUUCAAAAAUGCUUUCUUCAAAUUUGGCCAACUUCUGAUGCUUAGAGGAGGAAGCUUGCUGUACCACACUUCGGCGGCUCAGCCUAGUGUUAAAUGGAAGGCUCUGCAUUUCAAAGCGGGCGAGGCUCCCCUUAGGCUCAUCCGUGUCAUGUGCUUGGUGAGGUGCUUCUCCGGGUCCCCCUUUCCUUCAUACUUGGGGAUCUUAAGGGGCAUGAAAUUUACUGGCAUUGGAAAGCUUCGGAUCUCCCUUGAGAAAUUGAGGUUAUCAUCAGCGUCGUCAAUCUCAUAGGAUCAACAGGGUCCAUCUCACCCUGUCUCAUCUUGAAUGCCAUGUGGAGGUGGAAGUGCUUCUCAUCGACUUCCUCAAUCGACUAGGUUCCUCCUGUCCCUCCUAUUUAUAGGAGGAGAAAGAGCCUGCUCUUGUUCCUGAUCUGGACGAACUGAUCUUCUUAUCGGACGGACCCUAUAGCUAGGAUCAUCCCCUAUCCGGUCGAAGAUGCUUGCCGACCUUUGUUCCCCGUAUUUUUGAGGAAAAUUGUCCCCCAAGUGUGGUUCUGAUGGCUGGCUUCCUUGCACAUAAGAUGUGCCUUCGGCGUUCAUCUCUCUUUCGAGAGGGCGUUCUAUGUGCCUGUACCGGAUAAGAUCCUUGGGGCAUUUGAUAGCCCUGAUGACCCUGGGCUUGCAUGAGGAGUUCAUAUAUUGCCAUAUUCUGAGCUGCAAUGUCUCUCUUACCCGCAGCUAUUUGAGUCAUUCUUUCAGUGAGCAUGGCUAUUCUUCCACCUCGGCGAGGCCGGUGAUGUGGUCUCUGAUGAGUAACAUUGUUAUGGGAUACCUCUUCUUCAGAGGCCUCUCUCAUAGGGUUGUCAUCUUCAUGGCUAUAGCUCAUCCUAUCUCCUUUUUCAAGGGUGCUGAGAAUUUGGAUUGUAACUUGACUUUAUUCUUUUUUAAGAACGUGCCCUUUUCAAGGUUAGUCGCUAGUCCGAUGGAGAAUGCAGAACUUUGAACGGGAAGUGUUUCCCACAGACGGCGUAAAUCUGUUAACCUCGAAAAUUGGACCUUCCACGUGGCCAACCGAUAGCUACUCCACGUAUGCCUCCCUGCGCACAAUCAAUGCACGGUCAGACGCACACGGUCAGGACCAGCGGGGGUGGUGGCCGUAUACACUCCGACGGUCAAGUCAAGUUUAGGUGGUCGGAACAGUACCCAGGGGUUGUACAAAAUAAUAAUAAUGGGGAGGAGAAAAUAUAUAAACUUGCUAUGGAGUGCUAUGUAGUAAGAGUUUCAUUAUCUUUGCCUCUUGUCAAACCUUGGGUAUUUAUAGGUGGGAUGAACCGUUGAAUCUGGGACACGUGUAUACAUCUGACUAUGAGGCAUCCGCUCAUAGGCGUCAAUCAGCCACGUCUGUAGAGUGGGCGGACAGCUUGUUUCUCCUGAGUUGAAUUGAGAUAAAGUUGAUAAGUCACAUCAACUAGCCUCAUGAAGACGUCAAAUCAACUUAAACCUUAGGUGCAGAGAGGAUCUUGGCACAAAUCUCUUUCUGAAAUUGGCGGCAGAUCUUUUGACAGGGGUCCACUUGGCCUCGGCCUCGGAGGCGAAGAGCUUCAGUCAGUUCAACAGGAUCACCUAUACCUCGCAGUGUGCUACUAGGUUGUUGACAUUGGUGAUAUCACUUCGGACGGGUGUCUAUCAGGUCGGAAUGUGUGGUGGUGGGCGUUCUGAGACGGUUCAGAUAGGGGCGUAACAGCUUGCGAAAGGUGAGUAUCGAUCAGAUUCCCCAUUUCCUCAGGGCCAUACCCUUUGCAAACUUCUCCCAAGGCGAGAAUCAUUGAUAGGGUAUUGGGAUCCAACUUCUCAUUAAGAUAGGAAGAAAAUAAAGCCUUGAUUUUUGCAAGAUGUUUAGAUGCCUCUGCAUAUUUGUUUUCCUCUUUGCGGGGUUCCUUGCCAAAUUUGGCAUAGAUUGAUACCCAGAUACUGUGGGCAAGGACCCUGAUACCGGCAAACCUCUAGCUUUUUGAGGCAGCUAAGGACGCUUACUCAUACCUUUGCCUUCAUGUAAAGAUUCAUUCUUGUCUCUCUUAGAACCCCCCAUGAACACAUUCUUAAAAGGAGAGGAGAGAGCCAAUUUCUGACGUUUGCGAGAAGCACUAAAGUUGAUCUUCUUAGUAUAGUGUACAAUGAUACUAUCUGCACAUGCAGAAGGAACUGUGGAAAUGAACAUCUAAAAAGAAAAAUAUUCCAAUUAAAAUAGAGUUUAUGCUUUCUAUGGGCUUCGUAACAUCAAGAUCCGUGGGCAUUAUCAGAAGUAGAACCAUCAGUUACCAUAAAUAAAGAAAAUGCUCCUUUUCCAUAUGCGAUAUUAUUAGAGAUAAACAAAGAAAAGUGGACUAAAGAUCCCAUACUCGACAAAAAUUCAUAGAAGGCUACAUAGUCGUAAGAGGAAGGGUUUCAGACAAGUUGAGAUACAAUAAGAUUACAAUCUCAUCCAUUCGAACAAAAUUAAUGAAGAAAAUUUCAUAAUUAAGAGAUUAAGUAUAACCUCUUUCAAAACUAAAAAACAAGGUCUAUUAUUUCAAAAUCAGAUAUUGAUUAAAUUUUAUUUAUGAAAUAAUUAAUUAAAUAAAAUUUUAUUAAUUAAUAUUAUUAAGGUCAUAAUAUUAUAUAAAUUAUAGUCACAAUUAUGUAUUAGUCACAAUUACAGUCGUCACAGUCGCAAAUUACAACUUAUUUUUCGAUCACAAAUUUAUCAAAUUAAUAGUUCACAUAUUAUUCAUUGGUCACAAAUCACAAAUUUUAUAAAUCACAACUUAUUUUAUGGUUACAUAUUAUUUCUAGGUCACAAAUUAUCAAAUUAUUAAUCGCAACUUAACAAAUUUCUAGGCCACGCAUUAUUUAUUAGUUACAAAUGAUCUAUUUUAUUAAUCACAUAUUAUUUAUUAGUUACACAUUAACUAAUUUAUUUGUCACAAUCAAACAAAUAAUUUAUGACUACCACCAACUCACCACUGCCUCUAACAACACUAUUGCCAACACCACUGUCACCAGAACCACGAGCAGCAGCACCAUCACCAUCACCAUCACCAUCACCAUCACUAUCACCAUCUCAAUCAUCUCAAACAAACCAAACUGUUACGAACAAAAACCACCAUCUUCACGAUCGUCACGACGAUAAUGAAGACAACAACCAUUGCAAAACAAAUAAAAAAUGGAAGCAACAACCACAGCCACGACAUAUCACCACCACCUCACUACCACAACCAACAUCACAACCACCAGGACCAACAAAUCAAAUCCAAAAUCACAUGCACUCCACAAUCGCCAUCACCAUAACCACCUCACCAUUACCACAACACCAGCAUAAAAAUCAGAACACCGAUCGAUGAGGAUGAAAGCUAACAAAUCAGAUCCAAAACCACCAGCACCACAAUGCAAAUUAGAUCCAAACUGCUAGCACUAGAGUGUUUCUCGAUGAGGAUGAAAGCCGCAAAGGAGGAAAACAUCGUCGAGCGCGUCAAUUUUGAAUGUUUUCGAGCACCGUCAAGGUAAACGCUAUGCAGAGGGGAACCAUCGUCAAGCGACAGCGUGAUGGCAUGAAGAGAGAUGUCGCUGCGGAUUUGACGGCAUUGCCGCUCACGACUCGAGCAGCUUGGUGGGAUGAAGAGAGACUUUGCUGCUGAUUCGGUGGGACUCAUAGCGCACAGCAACAGUGGCAUCUCCGUUCACGACUCAUAGUAGUUGCGAUAUUGUCGCUUGUAUCGUCGCUGCGAUGAUCCUACUACAUUUUUGAUUGGUUGAGAGAGAGAGAGAGAAGUCGGGGAUAGAGAAAGAAGAAAAUACGAAAAUGAUCAGGAUUUUGGGUGCGUAGUUGGAUUGCAUAAGUAAAUAUGUGUAUUAAUUUUUAAUUUUAUAAUAUAAUUAUUAAUAUUAAAUAUUUAAAUUAUUAUCUAAUUUUUUAAUUAAAAAAUAUAAAUCUUAUUUUUGAAUUGUGAAGUUAAAAUAUUUGGAUGGAUAUAAUUUCCACAAAUUAAUGAGACCUCAGAAAUGUUCAUUUAUUAAAAUUUAUGAUCUCUUGAACAUGCCUGCAAGAUUAGCUCUUCAAUUCGCAUGGUUCGGUAUGUACUUCACCCCUAAGUUGGGAACUAACAUGCAAAUAAUAUUAUCCCCGUGUAAACCUAAAGUUCCCAGGGAAGAACAUCAAACAGUAAACACAUCAAACAUGGGCCAAGUUGAAGCACCAAGCAUGCAGCCCGUUGGCAUACUAUUCAUUGUUCAUUGCAUUAGAAGCCAUAUUUAGGUGCAUAGAGUUUGCUUAGCGUCCUCGUGUGAUCAAGGUCAAUCCAACUACCAUAGAUUACCAAAGGAGAUACAUGGUAUUUCAUUAUUAUUUUCAUUUCCCAAUCUGUGAGCCAAAAUAAAAAAAGACAUUCAAAUAUGAAAAAAUUGUUCUAUUCAAAAAAAGCUUUCAACAUCCAUCCAUUCACGGAGUGCGCUAUUAACAAGGACCCAAUAGUAUUACAAACAAGAAUUUAACUUCUUUCUCCUUCUACUGGACUGUGGAAUGGUAUAAAGUUCUCUCUGCGAAACAAGACAUUAAGUUCCAACAGGUCAAAUUAAAGUUAUAAUAUAAAACUAUAAUAUGCUCAACGUAAGCCAGAUUUCUACAUAAUGAUAAUAGUGAACGUGAUGCUGCAAAAAUCCAUAAAAUAAUGACUAGAUUCAAUGCUUUCAACCAUUGUGUUCACUGGGGUUUGGCUUAAUCCCACUGCAACAGAAGAAGUGUGGCAACUUAACUUGACCGCAGACCCUGCCAAAAUACAGUGUUUGAAAGAUAUAUGAGCUAUUAUUAAUGAUAAGGGAGUAAGAGCAUGUUAAGCUUUAAUUCUUAAAAAGCAACAAAUACUAUAUAACAUAUUACAAGCCUCUAAAGACUGAUUCUUUCCAUCAAUUCGUCCAAGAGAAUGUGUGCUAAUCAAUAUAACUCCUUUGCAUUCAAUACAAACAAGUGUAAUUUGCUAGGCAAGCCAAAUAGAAAAUCUCAAUGUUAUCAUCACAAAUGGUUUCCCUUUGUACGUUUUAUAAAGUGGCUGCAAUAAUUUACCAAACAAAUUUAAAAUUUAAAACUAUCAUAUUGAAAAUUGCACACUGCAUAACCAUGACGAGACAAAAUUAUCAAAUUAACACUUAAGAACACCUUCCAUAGACUUUGGACAUAGGGCAGCUAUUUCUUGUUAAGGAUAUGGUUCAGAAAAUAAAAUAUAAAAAGGGUUUUCUUCCAAUAGUUUCCGAAAUAAAAAGUUUUUAUUGGACUGAAAUUAAAUUAUAUUAAAAUAUGAAUAAAAAAUUAAAUAAAUAAAUAAAUAAAAGAGGUUUGCAAAUUAACAUAAUGGAGGAAUUGCUAGAGAAACCCUUACUUGCAACGGAUGAUCACUGGGACAGGUUUCAAAGCCUUUGGUCCAUUCCUAAUGCCUCUCUUGUGUGGAGAGACCUGCACGAAGCAUUUGGCAAUGAGUACUCAAAGUGAAGGAAUGCACUAACAUGUCAUCAAAUAAUUAACUGGCUUUAAACUUUUGGCCCUAACAUUGAUGAUCUUUUUCAAAUAUGUAGGUUAAGAAAUAAAAGAACAGAGUAAAAAUCCCUAUUGACACGAGAUUGAUAAUAGAGAAGCGCCAAAGAAACAUGCAUGCAGUAAUGAUUGCAAGUGCCUAACCAUAUAAACUGCAAAACUAUACAGAAAAUGAAUUAACACACAUAUACAUCUGACCAAUGAUGAUAUCCCCCUACGCAUUUAUUUGCCUCAUACUCAAUCUUAUUGAUACCCAAAAGGAUUAUUUCCUGAACAAGACGAUGGAAAUGUACGAGAAAAAACAGAACUUUGCUGUGUGCUUCCUUGCCCAACUUUGUCCCUUUUUACAGGACCUUUUCCGGGUUUUCUAUGAUUCCCCUUUCCCAUGCCAAAAGGUGAAAGUAGAGCCUGACAUGUGGAUAUGGUAAUAUAGACUCACUGAACAAAGUUCAGCCUAAAGAUGAUGCAUGCCCUUACACAUUUAUUUCUAGAAUAAGAGAACUGUUGUUGGUGAGGAUAUUUUUGAACGAAUUCUUUUGGGUAUCACAAUACUUUUCGACCCACCCCACCUCUCUGAGGAGUCAAAUUGCCAACAAUCUAAUGGGUUUUCUGAACUACAAGGCUCUCCAAUGCACCGAACACAAACUAUCCACAUAAAAAGUUCCUAUACCACCUCUAUAUACAGAUUUUAAUUGAAACCAUUGGGUAGUGGACACGGUAUUCCUCAGGCACACGAAAAACCAAAACAUCAGUACAAUGAGCGAUUAACAACAGUCGUAUUCUUCGAGAUAAUAAAUUAUUCGAACACCUCAUAGCGUAACUAAAAAGAAUUACUGAAUUUGCAACGAGCAAAGUGCAAUAUAAACGUUUCCUUCAAAAUUUCUGCACAAUCCCACAUUUCCAAAUACAGCACUAAACAUAAUAAAAAUCCAAAUUGAAGAAAAUGCAAAUCAACACAACGGGCAAUCUCAAAAAUGCCUUUAAUAAAUAAAAGGUGCUAAACCCUAGACCCUUUGCGAAAAAUUGAAUCUUUGGAAGAAACUAAGAAAUUACCUUUCUUUUGGGGACAGCCAUAAGCUCCAUUGGGCCACCGAAAAUUGAACAAUUCGGAAAUGCAUCUCCGAUGCCGUUGUUGUUUUGAUGUUCUCGCAAAAACAACGUCGGUGAUGCGUCGAUCGAGUGGGCAACAGUGGUAUCAAGCGGCGGUGGCUGGGCUAUUGUAUGGGUCCACCGGCAGAGACUUACUAAAGUACACCCCUUGGUCGAGAAGGCGCAUUUUAGCGUCGGUACCCUUAACGCCAUUUAUUAAUUUCCGCUAUACAACGGUUAGCUCUGUACUGUGUGUAGUGUGUGAGAAAUUUCAGCCGGGAGUACUGGAAAAGAGAGAAUCAAUGGGCCAUUUUCAUUGGGCUCUCCCCGGCCUUGGGUUAAUGGAUUGGGAUAGGGGUUUUGCUACAGUAGCUAAUAAUUAAUAGGAAAAAUUACAUAAAACCAAGUACUUAAACUUUUAAAUUAAUAAUUCAGGGAUGAAGAAACUUUAUGCAAAAAUCAGGUACCCAUUACAAAACCUAAAUUCCCCAUCCUUGUCUCUAAUGUCUUCUCUUGGUUCUCUCCUUUCUCAGCAGCCGAAACCUCUCUCCUCUCUCAACAGUAGUGGCGCCGCCGUGGAAGAGAAUUUCUGGUGUGACGGUGUUAUCGUCAGACUUGAACCACACCUCUCUAUUUUGACCAGUCGGGGCGAUUUUUUAUAUUUUGAUCCAUCUUCCUACCCAUCCCUUUCUAUUUCAACCGAUCGAUUGGCACCAUGCAAUGGCAUCGUGUGACGUAAUACAUCUUGUAGCGACAUACGAUAAGGCGACGGGUAGGGGUGUGAGAGUCACUUCACUGAUCAUGACGGCGAUGACGACAAUGAAGGUAAGGGGGUUUGCGAUCUGUUGUCGUGACCUUUGAUCUGUUCUAGAACCAUAGCCAUUUGUGAUCUGCAGCCACGAUCGAUGUGGUUGGGUUGUGAUCUGUCAAAGAGAUGGUUUAUUGUCUUGUGUGUUGGUUAUGGUCCUAGUGGCUAUGAUUGUUUCCGGCUAUAGUCAUGUUGGUGGUGGAGACGUUGGUUAUAUGUUGUUGUUGUGUUUGGUGGUGGCUUCUGGUGGUGGUGGAGGUGUUCUUAUGGUUUCUGGCGGCGGUAAAGAUGUUCGUGUUGGCAGUUGUGAUGUGGGUGGUGUUGGUGAGGUAUGAGUUGGAUAUUGUUGGUGUGUUUGGUGGUGGUAAUCGUGGUGGUUCCUAUUGACGGAGGUGGUUGGUGGUGGCUACGAUUGUCCUAAUUUUUGUUGGCUUUUGAUUUGAUCUCGUGGUGACGACAACGACGAUAACGAGUGAGGGUGGCGAUUUUGUUGGUGAUGGUGUUGGUGUUGGUGUUGUUUUGGUGGUGGUGCAGGGUGAGGGUGGAUCGAGAUCUAGUGUUGGAUGUUUGUGACCAAUUAUUUGGUCCUCUCUGUGACUGUGACCGUUAACUAUGAUCUUAAAAUUCGAUCAUUUAUGACUUAAAAGUAAUCCGUGACCAUCAAAUUUGAAAAUAUCUAAUAUGUGACCUAUAAUUUUUUGAAUUUGUGACCAAUGACAUAAAUUGUGACCUACAAAAUUUUUAUUUUUGACCUUGAACAAAUCUAUGACCAAUUAAUUUUGUGAUAUGCGACUAGUAAAUAAAUCGGUGACCUAUAAUUGUGAAUAUGUGACCAUUAAUCAUAUAACUGUCACUUUAUUAUCAUCAUUUAAUAAAUAUUUUCAAUUAAUUAGUUAAAUCAUAUUUUUGCACUAAUAAAACUUGUAACCUGAAUUUUGAAUUAUGCGUACUUAAAGUCUGAUUUGUGAACUCUUACCUAAUUAAUAUCUCGUUUGAUUCUCAUUUUUGUCAAAAUACAUUUUUUUCUCUUUUUUUUCAACCACAUAUUUUUUAUUAAAAUGAUAUUACACGUAAUCAACAAUUUUUCCUUAUUUUUCAUCCACACAUCCUCCAUCAAUCUACAAUUCUAAAAUUCAUUUUUCAUAAAAAUGGGUAUCAAACACCCUAAAUGUAACUUGGAUAUUAUGUACAUUAGGGUGUAAAUUUUAAUGUACAUGUAGAAUAAUACUUGGAAUAAUUACACCUUAGAUAUUUAAGUUACUUUACAUUGUUUUUAUUUAUUGUAGAUUUUUAGACAAUAUGUUGAUAAAAGUUGGUAAAUUAUAUAUAGACUAAAUCAGUUUUUUAGCAAAUGUAACUUCAUCAAACAAGAACUUAAUUUAAAUUAGUAGCCAAUAAAAAAAAAUCUAAUUUUAAAAUUCAAACCUAGAAGAUACACAUGUCAACCAAUUUAAAUUAAAACUAAAUUUGCACAAUUGGAAUAAUUAAAAUAUGAAUUUUUCCAUUUGUAUAGAAACAAUGUUCAUAAAAGCCUGCCUGAAAACUCAAUGAUGUGGGGCCCACCUAAAUAAAAAAUGGCCAAAAAGUAACCCACCCAUCUUUUGUGAGGCGUCGACAAAGGUUCUCACAGAACCCCUACCUGUACACCUAGCAUUGCUCAAGUGUACUAGGGUACCUAAAAGGCUAUAUAAAGGAGCUCGGAUUGAGUUUAACCAGGACACGAAGAUAAAGAAAAUAUAAUGCUAGUACAAGUGGAAAUUACAACCAUCACUACAAUUUAAAUUAAUAUUCAAAUUUUACAUUUUAACUUUUUAAUUCCAAAAUUACUACAGUAUCUAUUGUAAAACGAUAACCAAUAAAUAUAUUUACUCCCAUCAUGAUGUGGUACGAAAGGAAUCAGACAUUAUGCCAAAGUGAGACUGGCACAAGCAUAAAUAGGCAAUUUGUCGAUUUUUUGAGAAAUUUUGGGGUUGUCCAUUUUUGGCGAACUUUUAGUCAAAUUUAAUUGGAAAUAGACUAAUAAACAAGAUUUUGUGGCAUUGCCCCUGAUGCAAGGCUAAUCUCGGCCAAAUUUCUUCUUUUAGACAUUCAUUUAUGAGUUUUCUCCUUUUUUGAUAAUUUUUGUUUUGGUUAUAUCUCAAUCAAUAAAUUCGAAUUGGAAUUUUGUUUAUUAUUGAAAAAAUCUUUUUUGAUUAUUAUUUAAUUUUUUUUUUUUACGAAUUUCUCUAGGUUUUUCAAGAUAUAAAGCAUUGUAAGCCAUUUGAGGUAGCAAUGAUUGACAUGAGUAAAAUUUUCAUGAGUUUUUAAUCUUUGUGAGAUUUGUUCAUAUUUCCUAUAAGCUUCCACUACGUCAUAUCACUAAUAAGAGAAAGUUACAAUCACUUCACCAAACAUAACAUAUCAACACUACACAUAUGCCACGCAACCCUGACCCCACCCCAAAUUCCCCAACAUUCAUUUUUUCCAUUGUCGAGAUAUCAAGAAAAAAAAUCAAGAAUUGAUUCCAAGAAAUCUUCAUACAGAUAUGAAGACUUCCCGAAAAACCAAUGAGGCUAAGAGGAAUCUUGAAUCUAAUUCUAAGAAGUUAGUUCAGAAACAUCAAUCACAGGUAAUAGACAUGUAUUGAAGUUAGUUUUUCAACAAAAUAAAAUAAUUGUUUAUCCUGUUGAAUAAGUUUUUUUAAUUUUUGUUUUAUUUCAUGUGAUUCUGUUUGUUUUCGACAAUACAUAUCACUCUUUUAUUUUUUCAUGAACAAUAUAUCACACAACAUGGUAAAUAUGAGAGCUAGUGUGCACAGUACCUGAAUACGAGUGACAAGUGGCCAAGUUCUCACUUAGCCAAACAACUAGAGUUCUUUAGGAAACCUUACAAAAGGUUGUAGGCCUGACUUUAGCUUUUGCAUUUGUAUGCACAUUAUGACUAUGGAUUUAAGAUGAUAGAGCAACGCAGCUCAACGUUAUUGUAUUGCUUUGUUUAUUUUCCUUUCGCUACAUGUAACGUGUAGUGUAAUAUAAAAUCUUCAGGUCUAAUCCUUAUUGCAUCAAAAAAAAGUCAAACUUUACCUAGUCGUACAAAUUCAUUUAGUUAAGUUAGAUUUCAUAGGCAUGCGAUUCCCAGCUGUAACUUUUUAUGUAUGUAUAUUUAUCAUAGAACUGUGAAGUACAUUAGAAGAGGAAUGACACCGCUAACCAUUUAACUUUCCAAGAAUGUACAAUCAUAUGUAGUAUUGUUUCCUUUAAUAACUAAAACCCCAUCCACAUUAUGUCAUCGGAUACCACAAUACAAUAUGUCAUCGUUAAGUUGCAUGUCAUCACAUAAUAUUCUUUCAUUUCUCUAUUCCAACAUACAUAUGUAUUGAAUGAAAUCGCAAGAAUAUGAAAUUUCCUUUUCUAUUGUGUUAUAUAGUUAUCUGACGCUAUUGAUUAAAUUUAUCAACAAGAAUUGAAAUUUUACAACAUCCAUGCUAACAGAUUUUGGGGGAAGCAUCAAAACAUAUGAUACAAAUUUGACCUCAUAGCCACUCUUAAUCGCAAAGUUAAUGUGCAGCGGGAGUUGUUUAGGCGAUUAUGCUUCAAACACUUCCUGGACAUGAGGGAUAUUUGCUUAUAACAUCAGCUCAUCCACAUAAUGCUGAUAUUGGAGGUUAGACAAUCAGCAAAUGAGGAAAUGUGGUUCAAUAUUUUCAAGUAGAUUUAUAAGGUUUUGGGUUGAGAAAUUUUGCUUGGUUUAAAAAUGUAUGGAAACAGCACAAACAAAUGGAAGAUGGGAAACUGUAGACAAAAAGAUAAGUUUUUCAGCAAGUCAAGAACGUAGUCAGGAAAGAUUUGAAUGAGUUUUCUUGAGACUGUCACAAGACACGGUAGAUGAAGACGUGGUGAAGAUGGGAAUCCAUUAUUUAAUUACGUCUUUAUUGUACAUAACUAGCCAACCAAAGUUGGUAACUAAAGAAAUUCUGACCAGUCCUUGUUGAAGAUGAAGUAGUGAUGAAGUGUAUAAGGUAUUAGAGUUUAUGAUGAAAUGAGAUCGUCGCAAGGCAAAAUAAUGGUUUUUGAUUUCAUGAUAACUUUGGGUUUGUUCGUUUUUUACGAAUUGCUAGUCUAAUUCGAUUGGAAUCGAGCCAAUGAAUAAAACACAAGGCAAUUUUGGGCAAAAUCCAUCGUUUAAGCCCUCGUUUAGGCAUUUUUGCUAUUUAUGGUAAUUUUUGUUUUUGCAAUAUCUCUUUCCAUAAAAUUCGGAUUUGUAUUCCGUUUGUUUGAGGAUGAUCCUGAGACCUGAAGAUAAGGAUUUUCCAUCUUAAUAGUUAUCUCAUAUUUUUCUAUUUUUGAAAAAAUAUCUUUUUUAUUCUAUUUUCGAAUUUUGCUAGGUUUUUUUUUCUAUUUAAGGUGUUGUAAGCCCUUUCGAGUUGUAGUUCUUGAAUUCAAUAAAAAAUUUCUUGAGAGUUUUCUCAUUUUGUGAUUGUUCAUCUUUCCUAUAAUCUUCCGCUACGUCAAGUAGCUUAUAGAUUGUCUUUAUUCUAAAGUAGAUGAAAAAUUUCUCGCGAUCUUUUUAAAUUGCGAUUGAAAUGAAGAUGAACAUUGGAUUAGCAUCAUCAAUUUCAUGAUUUGAAUUUGAAAUCCAUGUAUUCAGUACUCUCAAUUAAAUCCAUCCAUUUAUACCGUGUACUUUCUUUUUCAGUUAUGGGUGAAUUAAUGGAAGGUUUUGGUUACAGUAAUUAUGCUUUAACUUGUAGUACUCAACGGCUCUUGUAUAUACCUCUUUAUUCCAAAUAGUUUUGUAAACUAUCCAGAAGAGGAAACUGUUUGUAAUAUUGUCCAUGCUGCCAUACCUUAAAAAGAAUUAAGCCCCCUGCUUAGACCCUUUGUAUUGGGUCUCACCCCCCAUGUGUGUGCACAUGUACAGACCCUGUGCAAAUGGGUCUGUGCAAGUAGCACAGUUGCCUUGAAAAUCAACACUUUAAGUCAGAUUGAGCUAAAAUAUUAAUAAAUAAAUUAUCUUUGAGUCUAAGUUAAUAUGGUAUCAAAUCAGUCAAUAUGAUAUUUAUGAAAAUUGCAAGUUGAACAUGAAGGAACAUAUAAUGUAAUGUUAAGGGGAUGAAAUACACAUUGAAUAGACAUAAUAAUGGAAUAGCAUAAGCACUAAUACUUUGUAUAUUAUAGUGGAAAUUAAAACUAAAUUCUCCUUUUAUUACGGUUCUUUUUUUUAUUCCACGAAUACUUUUAGCUUAUAGUAAAAAUAAUCAUAUUUUAAUAAGCACAGAUUACGCAUUAUAACCAAAUUUAUAUAACAUAUCCAUAUUUCACGCAAAUUAAGAUUCUCAAUAUCACCCAAGAUCUUUUAUUUGGAUGGGACUAUCCAUAGAUCAUACAAUACGAAAAUUACAGUAGGAAAGGAAACUCUUAACUCUAUUAAUCACAGAGUUCACCAUUCUAUUGAAAGUAAUGUAAACUUAACCAAGAGAACUCUAGAAAUAAAAGGAAGUUCAAAGAUAUCAAGUUGAUGACUUAGUCAAAUUCAACUUGAUUAAGCAAAAGUUUUUAUUGGAUAGAAGAAUUUUAUAUGAUGAAGGAAAAGCUUGUCAUUGGUCGAGAGAUUUUAAAGAAGUUACGUAAUCAUCUUGAACUCUUCUUCUCUAAAGAAGGUGGAAGUUAUUUAAGUAUCGUGAACUCUCCUUCUAUAAAAGGAUAUGGGAUAAGGUUACUUGUUCCAAUUGACUUCUUCUACUAAAGGAGGUUAGGAAGUUACUUGAUCAUCUUGAACACUUCUUAGUUUUUUUUCUAUAAAUAGGUGUGUUGGCAUGUAUUGUAAACUUCGGGUAGAAGAAAAAUUGUAAGGUUUGUACAAGAGAGUUGUUGAGAGAAAAUAGCUCUAUUGUAUGAAAUAUAUGUUGUAAGAUUUAUGAAAGUUUGUUUAUUUGAGUGAAAAAGUGAUAUUCUAUCACAACUUCUACCCAUCACAUUCGUCAGCAAAUCAAUACACCAUUUCUCACAAAUACGAAAAGUAUCGCCACAAAAUGUGUAUGACCAGAAUUUGCAACUCUCAUGCUGUGAUUAUUGAGGAUUUGCCAGUGGGGAACACAUCUCCUGAGGUUAUUUUGCCUAUCCAAAUUGAUCAUCCCUCAACAUCCUACCGUAGAGGUAACAAUGGUUGUCGUUGAAGAAAAUCGUGAUUGAAGACUCCUUGAGUUCGGUGGUCGACUAAAUAUAAAAUCGAACAAGAAAUGCACUUAGCAUCGCAAAAAUGGGAGGAGCGUAGUUGAGGUUGUCGAUCUUACAUCUACCAUGAAGAAGAAGAAGGCGAUACACUACUAUGUUCCACAUGUUCUUGGUUAUUUUUUGAAGAAGACAUGUUUGUAGUGUAUAUAAUCCAUUAUUUUUUAGGGUUUUCAAUUUUUACCAUUUCUAAAGAAUUAAUCAUACAUAAAUCGCAUUUUUUUAUUUUUUUAUUUUUUAUUUUUGCCUAAAUAAAUUUUUGUGUGUGGUAAAAUCCAAUCUUUUUUUUUAGAGUUUCGGGUAUUAACGAUUUAUAAAGAAUUACCCUUACAUGAAUCACCCUUUUUUUUUUUUUUUUGUUUUAAGUAAAAUUUUGUAUUUUGUAAAACUUAACCCUAUCAUGCAAUUAUUUAUUUAAAUUAUAUGUUCAAAUUUUAGGUAACCAAAACUGAUUAGUUGGAGCUUGCAACCAAUUCAAAAAUUUUGAUUUUAUAUUUGAUUCAUUGAAUUAACAUAUAUUCAUGUUUAACUCGCUAAUAGUAGCCAGUAGACAAAUAACACCUUUUAAAAAAUAAAAAAUAAAAAGGCCGGACAACACUCUAUUUGGUGAACACAAUUUCAUAGCAUUGUCACGUUUCUUUGUAUCAUGUUAUAUAUGUUUUUCAUGUUGUGAGAAAACAAGUAACUGCAGCAGAAAUCCUUUUUCAUGCGGUCUUGCACACUCUGGUUUCGUUUUUCCUAAUUGUGUCUCAUUAUCGAACGAAACGCGAUUCCAAGAACAUAGUGCUUUUACUUCUGCUUGUAUAUGUGUAUAGACUUGGAUAUAUUUUUACGUGUAUAUAUAUAUAUAUUUUAUUUGAGUCACAUAAAAUAAAGUAUGUAUCCAAUCAAUCAUUGUUAACAUUGUUAUUGACUCGUGAUCCCUCCAUAUUUAGGCUAAGUUGCACUUUACACACACAUUGAUCUAAUUACAAGUGAACUUGAAGGAACACCCAAGCAUUGUAAAAUGACAUCUUUCUUUUGAAUUCCAUAUAAAACAUCAUAGAUGUGUCAUUCGCAAUCUUAACUAGUGCCAUAUGUAGAUCAACCUCAUAGUUUAUAGAAGAAGCUUUCUUCAUUCGUUCAACCCUUUACUCUGAAAGUACUAAGUCUACGAGCAUAAUGUAUGUAGUUCCUGUCGGUAGAAUUAAGCCUAGAGUUUUACCAGAACACGAGGCAAACCCAUUGACAUCGUCCAUAUAUGUAGUGCAAAUAAAGUAGAACUCGUCCAACUAUUAUAAAAUUCGUCGCUCAAUAUCAAUGAAAUUAUAUAUAACAUAACCAAUCGAAUAAUACACAUCGAAAACAUUAAUUACAUAACAUUGUCUAUAGCAUACAUUUCAUAGCAUACAACAUAUGACUCAAAUGUCACAUCACAAAAAUUAGCCAAUUGAGCUAUCCUAAUAAUAUCAUUUAUUGCACAAUAUUGAUUAAACAGCAAUAGACAGCAAUAGACAAUAGAGGAAUUCAGGGAAUAAGCUAAUAUAUCGCCACUUUAAUAUCAAAGUAGGUUUGGAAUUUUAUAAUGUGACAUAUAGUAUUUUUGAUAUUUAGAAAAUGUCGCAGUACUUCUAAAAUUGUUAUCUGAAAAGGGCCUAGUUAUUAAAAUUUCCCUAUAUUAUAUUUAUUCGGCGUGGGAUUUAUCCUCCCCUUAAUAUGUUUUAAAAAACCAAGUCUUGUUUAUAAUAAAUUUGAAGCAAGUGAAUAUCAUUUAGCAACCCAAGUCCAUAUAUGUUUGUUAUAUUUAUUCGACGUAAGAUUUAUUUCUUAACACUACAACAAAUUUAAAGUGGGUAUGUGAAUAUCUUUACACCGUUUUGUUUGAUUAGUUGAAAUAUGUAAUAAAGUAUUCAAUCAAAUAUAUCCUCAGUAAACCCAUGUGUUAAUUUUGUUAGGAUUUUUGGUAAGGUAUUGUCUCAAUAAAAUAUGGUUGUUUUUUGUCUAUAUUUCAAAGAGUAAUACUAUUUGUAGUCGUUCAUUAUGACAGUUGUCCUACGUAACAUGCACAUGACAGGUAAUUAUUAGAUGCAUUAAUGUGAUAGUUUGUUAUUCGCUCAUACAUUAAAUAAUCAUCUGUCAUGUGUAUGUCACGUAGUGGUGUUAACGAGUCGAGUUGGCUUGCAAGUAGAAACUCGAGGCUCGGGUUCGACUCGAGUAAAAUGGUCUGAGCUUUUUCGCGAGCCCGAGACAAACCAAGCUUUUGUUUGGCCAAGAAAUCAAGGCUCGGGCCUUACCGAGCAGAGCCGAGCCAAGCCAGAUAGGGUCGAUUUUUUUUCUUUUUUUAAUAACGGUAGCACCGUGCUGCCAUUUUUAAGGCAGCAAUCUACUACCUUAAAUUUCAAUAAGGCAGCAAGCUGCUGCAUCUGUAGUUAGAUUUAUUUAUUUUUAAAUAUAGGCCCAUGAGCUCGAGCCAGCUCGGGCUCGACCCGACAUCGAGCCCCGAGUCAAGCUAGCUUGGGCUUUUUGGGGUCGAGUUGACGAACCCGAUUGAUAUCCCUAAUGUCACGUAGGACGACAAUUUUAGUAAGCAACUGCAAAUAGCACUAUUCUAUUCAAAUAGAAUAGAAUUUUUGGUUUCCUACUUUUAAUAGACUUGUUAUGAAUUCCAUACGGAAUACAAAUCAAAAGGCUAUCCUUUUGUGUCCUUAUAAAUAGAGGUUUUUCUUUGGUGUUUCAUUUAUCCCAAUUUGUGAGAUAGUUAUGAGCUAAUUUGGGGUGAGACUUGAUAUCGUUUGCAGUGUCAUCUAGUACGUAAUAAGUGGGUUCUCUUAGUAUGUAGAUUCUUGUGUGUAAUUGUGGUUGGGAGUGUGUUACGCUCCGAUCUUACACGCCUCGGACUCGCAGCACCACAUAUUCCGACCUGAAAACGACCCUUUCGAAGUGUCUCUGAAGUGAUAUAGAAAUUCCUAUCACUGACCUGCCGAAACAUCUCGCCUCCGAGGUCGAGGUCAAGUGGACCCCGGUUAGAAGAUCCAUCGCCAAUUUGAGAUUUGUGCCAAGAUCUUUUCUGCACCUAAGGUUUAAAUUGAUUUGACGUUUUUAUGAGGUUAGAUGAUGUGACUUAUCAAUUUUAUGUCAAUUCAAGUCAGAAGAAACAAACUGUCCGUCCACUGUACAAACGCGGCUGAUUGACGCCUAUGAGCGGACGCUUCAUACCGUCAGAUAUAUACACGCGUCCCACAUCCAACGGUUCAUACCACCUAUAAAUACCCAAGGUUUCGCAAGAGGCAAAGGUAAUGAAACUUUCACUACAUAGCACUCCAUAGCAAGUUUAUAUAUUUUCUCCUCCCCCUUUAUCAUUGAUUUGCAUAGCCCCUAGAUACUGUUCCGAUCACUUAAACCUGACUUGAUCGUCGGAGUGUAUACGGUCGUCACCACCCCCACUAGUUCCGUCCGUGUGCACCUAACUAUUCGCUAAUUGUGCGCAGGGAGGAACACGUGGGAUAGCUUUCAGUUGGUCACGUGGAAGGACCAAUUUUCGGGGUCAACAGGGUGUGCACGAGAUUCUAAAUAAUUGUAUUGAUUUUUCAUAUAGUAGAAUAUCUCUAUUUUCUUCUCUCCAUCUAUUUUAUGUUUUCUUGUUUCUAAAUAAAUUUUCUAAACAAGAAUCUUAUGGACAAAUCGAGAAAUAGAUAAAAAUUUCCAGAAAUAGAUAAUAUGUGCUUGCUCGGAGGGAGGAGGACAGGAUGGGUUCCGACUAAUGAAAUCCCAGUUGAAUUUUUGCGUAGUAUUCUCGAGAAUUUCCUAUUUAUCAACACAACGGUUUGAUUCAUUCUUGUAUAGCCAUUGUCUAUUAGUUGUACUGCAAAUAAUGUACAUCUAUUUGACUGCAGAUUUGAUAUUAUGGUGUUGUUUGGCUUGCAUUGAUGUGGGUUUGCACUUUUAAGUUGUUUAUCCAUCAAAAUUUACACAUUGAUAACACAGUUGAUACGAUGAAUUGGACAGAAUAACCAUAACUUUGUUAUGCAGACACCAUGAUCGAAGAGAACUUGCAAGACUGAAUUACAUCACGCAAUUAUUUUACAAAAUCUGCAACGAAACAAAACUCAAUACAGAAAAAGGUAUAAAACCAUAUCACAUCUUACUUUAUUUUCUUUCUAAAAUCAAUAUUUCUAUGACAGAGAAGCUCUAACAGUAAAACCAUAACAACAGAAGAUAAUUGUCGGAAGGUUUAUCGGCAAAACAAGGAGCACAAGCCCGUAAAGUUCAACGAGUUGAAGGCAAAGCACGCCAAUUGUCAGCCAGAUGAAUUGCUCUAUCACGAGAAGUUGCUGAUAGCUGUUGAAUGAUAACAUCUUUGACAUGAGCAGCAGCAGUCUCACCAGCUCGCGUUGCAAGCUCCAAGUAUACCACGGCCUUCAUCAUCUCCCCUCCCUGGUGAGAACAUGUUUGGCUAAGAUUGAAAUUAUGUCCAGGUACUUUCUAUCUAAAAAGAAAAGUACGGUUUCUACAAAAGUAAGUUUCUGUUCCAAAAAAAGUAACUUUGAAACAUGUUUGGGAUAAGUUACUUUAAGCUUAGCCAAACAUGUUCCAAGUUGUAGCACCAAAGACUUCCAUCAGUUUUCCACGCUACUCCUUAAAAUACAUUGAAGAUAUAUACACAAUAUUACGGAGUAAAAUCUUGAAUACAAAAAACGGAAAACCCCUUUUUCACAACUCUGUUAUUUCUAUAAGUCUGGAGCAAAAAUAUGGACACAAAAUCAUCUAUCGAUGUCACCAACAUCACUUAAAGAACUUUACUAUGAAAGAAUGGGAUGUAUUGGUAACUUACGGAAAAAAGACCCAAACCAUGCUCAAACUGUGCUUUGCUAUGACCACGAUCAGCUGCCUUCUUCAUCCAUUUCCUUGCUAAUCUGUGCGACUGGACCAGCCCCUGGCCAGAAGCGUAGCACAAGGAGGUAUUAUACAUAGCACGCACAUACCCCCCUUCUGCAGCUCGUAGAUACCAUCGAGCCUGUCAAGAUUGGAAUUUAGAAAUUCGUAAGUGUCGAAGUUAUUAUAAGAAUCCAUAUCGAAAAAACAAUAUGCUAUCAAAAGUUAUUACAAAAUGGAAGGCCUUAUUCAUCUCGACUACGUGGGAAUAUCAGAUAUUCCUCGUGCACUAUUCAACUUUAAUCAAGAGUUUGUUAAACAGAAAAAAAACUCGACAUACUUAGCCAAACAAGGAUGUGUCUGUAUUCAUUAGCUGGAAAAAAGUAAUUUCAGAAAAGUUAGCAGUUUUACGUCUAGAUUAACAAAAUCUGAUAAGUGCAAAGUAUAAAAGGAAAUUUAGCAGCUUCUUGGAAAGAAGAAGAAAAUUAAUAUGAACCAGCAGUAUCUAAUUAGCAAAACAAAUUGAAGAUCAGAUUUCAAGAUUUAUUCUACAACUGCAUAUAUUAAUUAUCGAGAGUAAGAAAGUUUUGUAACAACAUUAUACCGCUUCUUGGAGGUUUUGGUGGAGCACACGACCUUGAUGCCAACAAAGAGCGAGUUGGUACUGAGCUCGAACGCUACCAGCAACUGAAGCUUGAUAUAACCAAUCAAUUGCCUCUUUGGCAUUAGAAGGAUCAGCUGCACGAUUACAUAGCUCAGGACAACAUAACAGAAAGGGUACUACUAAAAGUACUACACAUUAUUAUUACUGUUCAUUACAAAUGCAACUCCAUUUUUUACCCUGAAAAAAGACAUUAUUUUUAUUAGCCAUGAAUGUUCGUCCUUAUUUGAGUUCAUAAUUAUCGGUUAACUCUAUCUCAUUUUCACCGUCAAUCUUUAAGAGCUGUGUCUUAUUGAGGAGAAAACACGUUAGCAUAUCUGGUACAGGAUGCAAGAAACAGAUAUCCAAAAUCAAUCUAUCAGUUCAACAAAAUUACCAUUUUUAACUAUAUGUUUGGCUCAUGUUUAUAAAUUGUUUAUAAAUAAUCACACCAUUUUUAUCCACACAUUUCGAGAGACCCCACAAGUACUACCCACUUAUUCACACUCAUUUCUAUAUAUUUAUAAUUUAAAUCAUUCAUAAACACUUCUCAAAAAUGCUCAAAUCUCAAUAUACAUGCUAAUCUUCAAAGGCCUCUCGUUCCCCAGUAGCCCAAAAUGGAAUAUUAGACAUUGACAAUGGUCAGAAGUAACAUAAUUUUUUGGAAUCUGCUGAUGGAUAUCACAAAGGACACAAAAAAAAAAAAAAAAAAAAAAAAAAUCUCUUUUAUUUUAUAAACCACGUUCUGUUGGCAAAUCCAAAAACAGGGCACUUACUCAAAUGAAUGCCCUACACAAAAUAGAAAUAUAUUAAAUACAUUCUCUUUAAACAUAUAUCAAAGGAGCCAUCGAGACAGACAGAUUCAUCACUUUUCUUUAGUUGUUUUUUAAUUCCGUAUACAAGCUUUGCUGCUGAGCACUUGACUGAAAUUUUGUCCAAAGGAAAACACAACAGUUCGUCAUUCAACGAUAGUUAUUCUCAAUGUUCAUGGCAGACAGGCAAUGAAUCAGCAAUAAAAGAUAUUAUCCCAGCAAACGUUUAGGUCAUCUCCAAUGCUUACCCCAAAACACCAAAAAGAAAAAAGCUCCCUGCACAGGUCCAUUUGACACCCCCCUCAUGUGACAGCCCCUAUAUAGGCCCUGUGCAAAUGGGCAGGGACACGGCUGCACCAAAAAAUGGUGUAAAACACCUUCAAUGCAACACCAAACUUUGCACUAUUUUGGUGCAAAGUGUCCAAAAGUCAUUUUUACCCUUCAUUUUCCUUUCCCAAAUAAAUUGAUUAAUGGUAUUUGUCUCAUUUGUGUUAUAUAUUUUUUAAUACAAUAAAUAAUAAUAAUAAUUAUUAUUAUUUUAAUCUUUUCCUUAAUUUAACGUAAUUAUUUAUUUAGUAAUUUAUGUAUUUAUAAAAUAAUGAAAUAAAUAAUAUUUCAAAUAAAUAAAUUAUAAAAAAUAAAAAAAUGAAAGAAAAUGGUUAAUAACUGUUCAUUUGGUGUAAGUUUUGGUGUAAUAAUUGGAGACGAAUUUUAAUUUGGUGCAAAAUGGUGCAAAUUUUGAUGCAGCGUUGGAGAUGGGCUUAUGAAUCAAGGCACAUAAAUGAUGUUAUUAGUUGCUUACACUGAAAUAUCUAUUAAGGUAUCAUAGAUAAAAGAAUGUUAGCAAAGACUUCUCCGACGGACUUCUAUUAGUAACGGCUCCCGACGGACUUCUCCGACUGAAAACUGCUCAAAACUUUAUGAUAUUAUUAUGUACAUGCCAGAUUUUAAUCAAAUGCAGCAUAACCACGUCACAGAGGAAAACAUGAAAAAGAAUAAAUCUAAAAAUAGUUUUGAAUGGACUAAACUUUGGUGGCUCUUUUUAUCAGAAACAACAGAAUUACAUUCAAAGAACUAAAGUUUCAUCACAAUCUAGACUCGCCCACUUCAAAUCAAUUCAAAAUCGAAAUGCCUAUAUUGCAUAUAAAACACAAGUUCAACAAAUCGAGAUUCCUAUACUGCAUAUAAAACACAAGUUCAACAAACAAUUCGAAAAUAAGUAAAAGCUAAACUAUAAAAAAGCAAUUACCUUGCAAAUACGAAAUACCCAAAUUGCACUGGCCAGCAGGGUUACCAAGCUCAGCUGCCUUUCUAUACCAAGCAAUACCCUCUUCCUUUUUCCCCAUUUCCCAAUAAAUCAAUCCGGCGUCCACCAUGGCCAUCGUGGACCCACGCGCCGCCCCCUUUAAGAAGGAAUCCAAGGCCUUCUUCAAAUUGGGCUUCACUCCCCCACGGCCAUGCUUGAACCGCUUGCCCCACUUCAAGAACAGCAUUGCCUCCCUCAACGGCCGGAGUGCAUCCCUCCAUCCUCUGCAUACCAGCGACGCCGACUGCAAGUUAGGCAGCGAGAAUGACGAGGCGAUUCUAGCUAAAACAUCGUAAGGGAGCGAAGAGAAAUCCGGUUCCUUACACUUCGACGACGACAAAAACGAGGACGACGAUGAAGAAGAUGAUUUUGAAGUGAAAUUGAGCUGACGGGUUUGACGAUCUUUGGUGGAUUUUUUGUUGGGUUUAUUGAUGAAAGGGAGGCCGGUGAAUUGAUGGCUGCAGGAUUUGUAUGGCCAUGUCUUUUGCUUCAUGGUGGUGGAACGGGUGCUGCUGCGCGACGGUGGCGGCGGUGGGGAUGAUCAAUUUGAAACGUAUCAACAAAAAUAAUAAUGUCAUGACGUAUCACAUUUUGUGCGUGGUGUAUGUGCACCGAUGUCAUCAGGGUGCAACUUGCAAGUGAUAUUUGUUCUAGAAUAUUGUUUUAUCCGUAUAUUUAUUUGCAGAGAAAAUUACAUUUUGGGUCCUCCAUUUAUUUACCAUAUGGACAGUUUAUAAUCUUUAAGCCGCUUUUUUGAGCCCCAUUUUGGGGAAAAUAUAUAUUUUUAAAUAGUGAUUUUUAAACAAGGACAUAGUCUAGAAAUGGCAGCGGAGCAAGGCAAGCCUGAUCUCACAUGGGUAUGUUGUCUAAACACGAUGGGAAUUUCGAGUUUAACUGAGUUAUAGAAGUUGGGUAUGGACAAAGAAAUUUGCUCCGAGUUGAAGACGGGAAAAUUAAUUAGGGAAGAAGACGGGAGCAAGGAAGGUUGUCCCUGGCCGUCCCUCUCCGUUGCCAAUUCCUAAGUUUCGGAUGAGUGAAAUCUUGUUGAUUUUAUUUGCCUCUCUUGCCAUAGCAACAAUAUUUGUCAAUAUCUCCUCCACUAAGACGUUAAACAAAAAAUUGUAUGAAAGCGUAAAUAUUCAAACCUUUCCUUGAUGUCCUGUGCUAUUUCUAUGCAAAAUUUGAAAAUGGGAUAGCAUUAUUGUAAUUAGAAUUACUAGUUUUUAUGUAUUUUCUAUCUCCAAUGCCAUUUCUAUUCAGUAUUUUUCAACACUUUUUGGCAUUGUGUCAUAGUAUCAUUUUGCGGGGAUGGUUUAGAAGGAUUAUUUUUAUUUUUUUCUUUUUUCAUUUAUUUGUUUUUUAAAAUAAAGGUAAGUGUUUAACAGUGAAAAUUAGUCAACUUAAUAUUAAUAAUUGUAUUUAUGUACUUAUUCGAGCUUCUAUUCGUAUUCAAUUAUAUGCAAAUUGAGUGAUUAUCUACAUAAUUUUGUAUAAAUUAAGUUAACUCUGAAAAGAAAAUUUGAACUUAGAUACAAUUGGUGAGGAGAGGGUUAUUUGGAGUUUAAUUGGAGUUAAUUCAAAGCCAUUGAAGAUUAAUUGAAUUGCAAUUGAUCAGUUAGAAGUGUUAAUGAAGCAUUCGAUAAAAAUUCUAAGUUUUGAGAGUCAAAUUUGAUAUUUGAAAAGUUUGGGGACUGAAUUUUAAAUUUUGAAAAUUGCACCUUAUCAAUUAUUAAUAUUUUAGGAUGAAGGGGACUUAAUUAUGAAAAUUAGAAGAUGAAGGAUUAAAAUUGUAUGAGAAAUUGGUCAAAUUGAAAAAAUGGAAUUGUUUUUUCAUCUUUUCAAACUCUCUCUUGAACCCAAUUGAGACAAGAAUUUUAAUUUUAAUUUUAGUCUAUAAACACAUAGUCCAACUAUUUAAAAAAACCUAUUGAGAAUUCAUUAAACCCAUAUACAAGACAAAUGUGCCUCUUGGGGGAAAAGUCGUAUCGAUUGCAAUAAAAUAGAGCCCAAAAUAAAAGAAAAAUCAAGAAAUCAAUUAAGAAGCUAGCAUUUCAAGGUUCUUAUGAGAAAAAUGUGGAUUCUUGGUGCAAUAUAUCAUCAUCUAUUUUGCAUUUUCCUUAAAAUCAAAUGAUAUCCAUUUUUUUAUUCUCCAAUGAUAUGUAAUUAAACAAAUAGUUAGGAUGAAUUAAUGUAAAUUAGUUUUAAACAUUAAUUUUAAUUAUAAAAUUGAAAUUUUUAAUUGAUGCUUGUGAAUAAUUUUUAUUUUCAUUCUUAAUGUUUUGGAUUAAUUGUCCUGUAAUUCAUUAAUUUGUGGACGAUAAUUACGUCAAGAGGCGAAUUGUUUGUUUAUACCACGUAGAAAAAAUCUGUAAUUUGGAUGAAAUGAUAGAUGUAUGCUUUUAUUGUUGUCGAGAUCGUUAAAUAAAUUCUUUGGAGAUUGGAAAUGCACUUGAUUAAAGCUUAUCCGAGUUUACAUAGAGAUAUGUUGUGUUGACUUAAUUGGGUAGAAUUGAUUUGAAUUCAAGAGAAGUAAAUCAAUUACUGUAUAAGAAUUUAACGAGUACAAGUAAUUAGUUAUUAUAAAAAUUGGUGAUUGAAAUUUAAAGGGAUAGCUACGGUGAACUUGUAAAUCAUAACACUAUAACAAUCAUAUACCUAAUUAAUUAUUUUUUGUAUAUUUAAAAUAAAAAAACGUAAAAAUAAGAUAAAUACAUUUUGUUUUAUUCUUGAUUGAAUUGAAAUCGAGCAUAAUUAAACCAACGGUUAGAUAUUAGUCCUCGUGAAAAAGGUAAUUCGGAUUCUUAGAUUCGCUUUUCUACUUAUUACGAUCCGUACACUCAUGAGAUAUAAAAUCAAAACAAAAGAAAGAAAGUAAAUACGUGAUGUGCAAAAACCUUAUAAAUGGCUUCCAUUUAGGAUUUUUUCCCUUGUACACGAGCCUAUACUCCCCCUCACAUGAAUGGAGGGACCCACACCCAAUUAAUACGCAGGCUCCGCCCCCAUGUGAGGGGUUGUACAUUGAGCCGCCCCCUUCCAUUUAUUGGAGAUCAAAGUAUUACAAAAUUGAAUCUGUGCUACUUUCAAUUGAUUGAGGUCCCUACAUAAGUAUUUCCCUGUCUUAUCAUUUUAUUCAAUAAUGUUUUAGUGCAUAUAAUUAUAGUUUAUUAUUUUAUAUGUUAUAAAAUGGAGAAAGAAUAAGAAUAAAAUCAGAGACUAAAGAGUCAAAAGAGUGUAUAAUUUUAUCAUAACAAUGAUCCCUAUAUAGAGUUUUAAUAAGAGCAACAAUCUGAAUAAAAAAAUUAUAUAGAUAUCCAGACAAAACUAGUGAUGACAAUGAGUUAGGAUGGUACUAAAUUUCACCGGAUUAUUCUUGGUGUGUAUAGAGAGGUACAUAAGGGUGCCCAUUAUCGACACCCGGCGUAGGAGGGUAUCCAUAAUGGGUAUCCUUAUGUACUUGGUGAUGUAUACGAAGAAUAAUCCAAUUUCAUUUGCCUGUUUCGCUCGUAUUGGGAUGACGAUCGCCACAGCUCCACUUUAAUUUAUUUAUUUUGGAUCAAUUUUUUAGUUUUGCUAUUUCAUUUGUCUAAGACAUUACUCAAUCGCUUGACUUGGAAAGUGAUUGUUGAGACUCAUUUACUAAUAAUUAUUUAUCAUUCUUUCAUAGCCACGUAUCUUUUAAAAUGUAGCUAGAUUUCAGCAUUUAACUAAGCCUCCGUUUGGAAAAAUUUAUAAAAAGUUUAACUUGUAAAUUGAUAGAAUUAAAGAACGAUGGACAAGUGAAUAUUAUUUAUGAGUCUAUUAAAAUGUGUGGUUGAAAUAAAAUUUAAUCACUUAUUUAUAAUUCAUAAAUUUUCCAAACCAAGGCUCUGAAGAAACCAUCAAAUAUUUAUUCUCGAUCAUGAUUUGCUCUCGAAAUAUCAUAUCUAUUCACUUGUACAAAAAAAUAAAAAUAAAUAAAUAAUGUGAAACCAAAGGUUGAAAUGUACAUGCUAAUCUAGUAGUGCUAUUCAAAUAGUGUAGGAUUCUAAUCCUAGUCCAUGACCUUAGGUGUAUGUAUUUUUCUUUUACCUUUCUUUUUGUUUGGAUAAAAAUUAAAUUUUUAGUAUAUUUCAAUAAGAAUAUUAGUAUAUUUUAAUAAGAAUUGUGAGUAUUAUAAAAUGUGUGCAUAUCCGUAAAUGAUUAGGGAUGGCAAUGGGUCGAGCCUUAACCCACGAGCUCGGCUUGGGCUCGGGCUCGUGGCGAGCCGAGCUCGAGCUCGGCNGAGCCGAGCCGAGCCCACGAGCGGCUCGCGAGCUCGUGAAAUUUUUUUUUUCAAAUUUUUCAAAUUUUAUUGAUAAAAUUUUAUUUUUUUCCACAUUUUUGGACGAGCCGGCGCCGAGCGGGCUAGGCUCAUUGGACGGGACCCCUCGUUCGGCUCGAGGAUGAGCCCGAGCAGUCCACGAGCCGAGCUUUGAUGAGCCGAGUCGGCUCGGCCCAAUUGACAUCCCUAUAAAUAAUGGAUACUAUGUGUUGUGCAUAUCGGACCAUGUAAAUAGGCACAAGAUAAUUAAAUACAAAUUAUGUAAAACUGUUAACAGUAGAUUAUAUGACUUGUAUAUAGACCUGUAUGGUGUUGAUUUAAUUUUUGGCCGAAAUUAUCUAAUUGAUCAUUUUGUCCCCAAACACGCGAACACAUUGAAUACAUCCAAGAACUCAAGGUCGACAGAGUUUUCCCAUUCUAUUCACCAGUAUAUCGAAUAUGGUAAAUAAAGAUUCAGGUUUAGCAAAGACAAAAGUACACGGAUGAAUGCUUUAAAAGGAAAUCAACAAGUUAAAAUUUCCAUCUGAUUUAAAUAAGAAUUAAGAAACAGUGCAUGAAAAAAAAGAGGUAAAAAUCUUGACUGGAAGAAUGAAAAAUGUUACCAGGAUAUGGUAAAUUGAAAGAAAUCAGACAAUAAGUUUUAACAUCGUAUCAAGAUAUUUCAGUUUGAGCAAACAAAGAAGCAAUAGGUUGAAUCCUUAAGAGAAAAUUAAGGAAGCCACUUAUAAGUUAAAACUGACAGCUUAUUUAGGCUAAAAAGCCAUGUGCAUGAGACUCCUGGCACCAAUUACUGAUAAAAAAAAGGGACAGAAACUGAAGACUAUAAAGUAGAAAAGAAUGGGGUUAAACAUUAACGCCGGUUAAAGAAGAAAUGAAGUUAAAAUCUUGUUUAUUAUACUGUUCAACACCGUUUCAAGCGCUUUCGACCCCGAGGAAUGAAAACUGUUUCCAGGUCUUCUGGAUUGAAGAACUCCAUAACACCAGCAAAAUGACAUUUUGAAGAAGCUUUUCGCUUUUUUGGGGCUGGUGGACAUAUCAGUAUGCUUGGAAUUCUUGAAUCUGCAGAUUUUGGUGUUGUUGAAAACUCUUCUUCAUCAUCACCUUUUUGCAGCCCUAGUUUCUCCACUGGAUUUGUAGAUAUUGGCUUUAGGGGAUUUCUCAAUGAAAUUCCAUUCAUUUGAUGAAUAUUUUCUGUGAACCCCAUUUUUGCAAGAUCAAGAUUUUGAAACUCCAUAAAUAGAAACAAUUUAGAGCAAAAAAAGUGGGAGUUUGUGUGAAGGAUGAAGAGAAUGGAUUCUCAAUUAACCACAAGGAAAAAUCUUGAAGAGAGNNNNNNNNNNNNNNNNNNNNNNNNNNNNNNNNNNNNNNNNNNNNNNNNNNNNNNNNNNNNNNNNNNNNNNNNNNNNNNNNNNNNNNNNNNNNNNNNNNNNNNNNNNNNNNNNNNNNNNNNNNNNNNNNNNNNNNNNNNNNNNNNNNNNNNNNNNNNNNNNNNNNNNNNNNNNNNNNNNNNNNNNNNNNNNNNNNNNNNNNNNNNNNNNNNNNNNNNNNNNNNNNNNNNNNNNNNNNNNNNNNNNNNNNNNNNNNNNNNNNNNNNNNNNNNNNNNNNNNNNNNNNNNNNNNNNNNNNNNNNNNNNNNNNNNNNNNNNNNNNNNNNNNNNNNNNNNNNNNNNNNNNNNNNNNNNNNNNNNNNNNNNNNNNNNNNNNNNNNNNNNNNNNNNNNNNNNNNNNNNNNNNNNNNNNNNNNNNNNNNNNNNNNNNNNNNNNNNNNNNNNNNNNNNNNNNNNNNNNNNNNNNNNNNNNNNNNNNNNNNNNNNNNNNNNNNNNNNNNNNNNNNNNNNNNNNNNNNNNNNNNNNNNNNNNNNNNNNNNNNNNNNNNNNNNNNNNNNNNNNNNNNNNNNNNNNNNNNNNNNNNNNNNNNNNNNNNNNNNNNNNNNNNNNNNNNNNNNNNNNNNNNNNNNNNNNNNNNNNNNNNNNNNNNNNNNNNNNNNNNNNNNNNNNNNNNNNNNNNNNNNNNNNNNNNNNNNNNNNNNNNNNNNNNNNNNNNNNNNNNNNNNNNNNNNNNNNNNNNNNNNNNNNNNNNNNNNNNNNNNNNNNNNNNNNNNNNNNNNNNNNNNNNNNNNNNNNNNNNNNNNNNNNNNNNNNNNNNNNNNNNNNNNNNNNNNNNNNNNNNNNNNNNNNNNNNNNNNNNNNNNNNNNNNNNNNNNNNNNNNNNNNNNNNNNNNNNNNNNNNNNNNNNNNNNNNNNNNNNNNNNNNNNNNNNNNNNNNNNNNNNNNNNNNNNNNNNNNNNNNNNNNNNNNNNNNNNNNNNNNNNNNNNNNNNNNNNNNNNNNNNNNNNNNNNNNNNNNNNNNNNNNNNNNNNNNNNNNNNNNNNNNNNNNNNNNNNNNNNNNNNNNNNNNNNNNNNNNNNNNNNNNNNNNNNNNNNNNNNNNNNNNNNNNNNNNNNNNNNNNNNNNNNNNNNNNNNNNNNNNNNNNNNNNNNNNNNNNNNNNNNNNNNNNNUAACACCAGCAAAAUGACAUUUUGAAGAAGCUUUUCGCUUUUUUGGGGCUGGUGGACAUAUCAGUAUGCUUGGAAUUCUUGAAUCUGCAGAUUUUGGUGUUGUUGAAAACUCUUCUUCAUCAUCUUUUUGCAACCCUAGUUUCUCCACUGGAUUUGUAGAUAUUGGCUUUAGGGGAUUUCUCAAUGAAAUUCCAUUCAUUUGAUGAAUAUUUUCUGUGAACCCCAUUUUUGCAAGAUCAAGAUUUUGAAACUCCAUAAAUAGAAACAAUUUAGAGCAAAAAAAGUGGGAGUUUGUGUGAAGGAUGAAGAGAAUAGAUUCUCAAUUAACCACAAGGAAAAAUCUUGAAGAGAGAGUUUUAUGAUAGAAAGAAAACUUUAGCUACGGAAACUUAUCUAGAGCCUGUUUGGGAGUGAUUUUGAGAAUUAUUUUUUGAUCGUUAGGAAAAAAAGUGAGGUCCAAGACAAAGUAAAAUACAUAAGGUUUAAAAGGCCCUAUUUAAAGGGCCGUUUAGGAGUGAUUUUUCACUCCAAAAAAUUGAUUUUUUGACCGUUAUUUCAUCAUUUCAGUCGUAAAUUUUGACUUUUUCUCUCACAGGUGGCCCCCACCUUUCUCCGAACAGUCAAAAAAUCAAUUCUCAAAAGUCGAAGAUUGACACAUUUAUUUAUUUAAAUGUUAUCUCCAACAUUUCCUUCACACGUAAGUUGACUUAAUUUUUGUUGUCAACAAACGUGCUUUAUUUUAUUUUAUUUUUAAUUGGAUAGGCACUACUCGAUUCGACCAGACUUCUGAUGCUUCAAUACCUUCAAGUAUCUCACACCAACGUAUCAACACGUAAGAUAGUUGUUCAGUCUUAGCGAGUGGAGGGUCCAAAGAAAAAGAUAAUGAUUUCCUUGCUAUCUACAAUAUUGGUCCGAUGAAACUGAAUUCUUCGUGAAGCGGUCGAACUGUUAAGGACGAGACUAAACGAUUUCAUAUAUUUGUUUAAAUUUUGAAUCGGAGAAAAUGGGGGGAAGAGUAAUGGUGAAUAAUGUUUGCCUUGAUUAAAAUAGACGAGGAAAUCGUGACCUAACCAAAGUAGCUUAAAAGCUAGGAAAAUACAAGGGACGAGCACGUGAAUAUUUCUGAAGGCAGUACAGCACAGUAAAUACUAAAUAGUGAUGAAAUUGACAUUAGAUUCCGGGCGCCACUUGCUUGCUUUCAGCCGUUAAAUGUUUUUCUAUUCUCAUCUUUACACUCGUUAUAUAGAAACUUCUAUGGUAAGGCCAGAAAUAAUAUCUUUGACAGACAAGUCGAGAGGUGUAAAAUGAAUUGAUCUCUAAAGCUAAAGGUGUUGAUUGGAUUAUGCUCGUCCAACAAUUAAUUCUUCUUUAUAGGAGCAGAUAGAAAUGUUCUAGGAUCCUUCGGGGGUUUUACCGACCCUUCACUGUAGAGUUCGGUCUCACAUGAAAAAAUAAAAAUAAAAAAAUACGCUGAGGCCCACGACUGUGAGGGAUCUGGCAGGGGUCUGUUUUAGCAGAAUUCAAUGUUUUAUUGUAUCGAGCAUAAAAUGACAUCCAAAGUUCAUGCAUUAGAUCGUUACCUAAUUUUAUAAAAAAAAAAAAAAAAAAACUGAACUAUAAAUAAAUAUUUAACAACAAUUACAUGGGUCAACCUGGCAUGGCUCAACAAGGUGGCUUGGCCUAAAAUUUGUACCGAUAGACUUUUUUGGUGCUAAGAUCCAAAGUUGAGACAAAAACAAUCUAGAUUGUUCAAUAAGGUUCCCUAACAAUCAUUUGUGGAAGAGAGUUCGAUCAAACGAAUAUUCGACUCUUUUUUCUUCAAGAUGAAGCCAAUUCUUCCCAUGCCGUUCAAUAGUGUGAAAACACUUCACGAUGUCGGGUUUUUGAAACGAGCAAGAGGAACUCAGGCCGCUUGAGUCUCCAAUCUAGCUUGAUAAGGUCUAACCUACUUAAUAUUGACCAGAGUCUAAAAAAUCCUAUUUUGAUCUUGUGAUCGUUGUAUAUUUUCACGAGCUUUAUUUGUUCACGAAUAAAUUUUUUUGCUUUGUUACAACAAUAUAAUGAAGUGACCAAAUAACAAAUAAGACUAAAUGAGAGAAUAAAUAUGCUCAUAUAAAGUCUCGAGCAUAGGGCAAACUGUAGUAAAUAUUUUUGAACAGAUGUAAAAUCCUUUUAGGUUCUAAACAGCAAAAGACGAUAUACGGUAGAUGUCCGACCACAUUUUUACAUCCUCAAAUAGCCUCCGUAGUCUUCGUAUUGUUCCAUGAAAUCGUCAUUGAAUUUCUUGAAACUGGCCAUUAUGGCCGGCAUGUCUUCCUCAGCCGGCAAGAUUGUUGUCCUCAGGUGGAAAACCCUACAAAUACAGUUACCGUCAGCUUUGAUCGAGUUAAAAACACUGGCAGUCACUAAACUAAUGACGGAAUUCAUUUUGUUUCAAGUUGGGCAUGGAACUCGAACAUUUGUUACAAUUUAGUCAUUUGCUUCAUGUCCCUUUUUUAAGUGUAUGAAGCUAACAAAUUUUGAACACAGUUUAAGAUCAAUUACCAACUUGAAACAAAAUGAAGUUUUAACGACCACUAAGGAAUUUAACGCUCCUCAAUUGUAUAGUAAGUUGCGACAAAUAGCAGCAUCGAGCUAUAAAUCACCCAAAAUGUGACAUCUUCCCAAAUACACGAUUUUGAGCAUUACUUCACACCAAGAAAAGUAAGGUGGUAUGUAAGAAAUCUUGCAAGAAAACUAGCCAUUAUGAAAAAAUUAAAACUAGACGUACCCUUCCUUUUGACCAAAUCCUGAACCUGGGACAGUGGAAAUGCCCGUGGCUUCUAGAAGCUUGAGACAAUAGAAAACAUCGGGAACUUUGCCGGCAUUUUUUGCAGCCUCUAUUGCUUUAGGAGGUAAGCGUAUUUGUGGGAAGGAAUACAUGGCACCUGAAAUCAUUUUGUUCUUACAAUGAAUAACUUCCAUGUAAUGCAGGUAAGUAGAUAGCUAAUUGAUGGCGUUCAGCGUGUUCUUGGAGGGGCGGGAUUUAGUAAAUCUGUGUAUCCAAAGAAACUGAUUUACCUUCUGUAAAAUUGCAGAUCACAUUUCUACAGCUAUUGAAUCCAUCUGUCACUAUUUGUGCUCUCCUCCUCAGUGACUCGAGGAUUCCUUUGCUGCAAGUGAAUAUCGAAAGAAUGCAACAAUUAAUUACUAUUCAAUAUAAACAAGACCACACGCUAAGCAAUAUUUCAGCCCAAAAGCCAAAACAAAAAUCUUAUGGGUUCUAAAUCUUGAAUAUAUGAAAAGAAUGUAGAUAAUAGAAGACCAUCUCUUUCAAUAUCUAAUCAACAAGAAUGAUACAAAGAAACAUAUAAAGCAAUUCAAAUAUCGAAGCCCCGUCACAAUUGCACAUAAUUCUACUUAUCAUACGACCUGAUUGCUGUAAUUUACUGCCCUCUUCAGGUCCACAGGGUGGCAUUUAAUUGUCUUAUUGAAAGCAUAGAGUGGCCAUGUGUAUAAUAAAAGAUAUAGGGGUUAAAGUACUUAAAAAUUCAAAUGAUUCCAACUGGUUUGUUACCAUUUGGUUUCUAUUUUGCAAUUCUCCAACCAAAAUACAAUAAAUAGGACUUGUGAUUCAACACAACAUUGUGAUUAAUAUACUUCCAUGACAAGACAACACUUUGGUGGUUCGAACAAGUUCUGCUUAGAUCUAAAGAGGAUUGCGUUUGUAAGAAUGACCAAUCUCGCUAAAACAAGUUAGAAGUGGGCAAAAACUAGCAUAUGGCCCUUUGAAGUUGCCAAGAAUCAAGUUGUUUUAUAUCUUCUAGUAAAUCUAGAAAUUAACUUAACAGAGUGGAUAAUGAGCACUCAUGUAACCGGCCCCAAAUAUGUUAGAAAUAAGACUUUGUUUGUUGUUGUUGCAGAUGACAUGAGCAAUGCGUCGAGAAUCAGUUACUUCCACUGAAAUGGAAAAACCGAUUUAAAUUAUUAAAGUCUUUUCUCCAAAUUCCAAAAUGCAGAAGAAAAAUAGGAAAUUUUCCAAAGGAAACUUUUAAAGGUAAAAAAUGAAUUUUGUCCACUAAUUUGAAUUCGUAAAUAAUGUCCACUUUUUGAAUUUUUUAACUAAUAUACCCUUCUCUCUGCAAAAGUGUUACCAUAUUCCUUCUGCACAAAUUUCUAACCAUCUAGGCAUUUUGGCUAAUCUAAGCAAAGUUGAUGAACUUUAGUCCCAUUAGACAUGCCCUUCUCUUCCUUUUUGCAUGAAUAGUGAACCAUCUACGCGUUCUCAUCAAACAAGGCAAAGUUGAUGAGAAUUUCUAGUCCAUUCAAACAUUCUAGUCUUCCUUGUCAACUUUGCGUAGAGGAUAUUUUGAUAAAAUGGUACUACAGAGAUUUUUUAUGGUCGAAUGGCCAUAUUUAAUAAAAAUUUUAGUUGGAAAAAAGUAUCAUUUUGGUCAAAAGAAAAUUGACUAGUUAGAAAGUUUCCCAACAAAAAUCAAACAUUGAAUAGUUCAUAAUUAGAUAUUAGCCGUCGUACCUCUCUCUAACAAAUCUUUCAUAAGAUAUAUCUCCAGGUUUAGGAGGAUUGACCAUAAGCCCUAACUGUGAAAAGGAAAAGAAUUAUAAUUUAGCUCAGGGAUAACAGCAGAAAUUGGAACAAAUGGGUGAAACUAGUUCAAUAAACUUAAUACCGCAAUGCAAGACUCUUAAAAACUGAAGAGACAGAGCUUGUAUACCAAACAAAUAUUAUUAAAUAACUGACUUACAAAGAUCUGCCCAGGGACAUUUGGACUGUGUGAAGUACAAGUAACCUUGUAUAUCUCUUCAGCUGUCUGCAACCACAGUCAACAAUUUAUUUGGCGAUAGGAUUCAGAACUAAGAAUUUUUAUUUUUCCAACACCAAGGCUCUAAAUCCUUAUAUAUAACAUUGGGUACACAUACAGCUGACUUCAGUCUUCAUUUUGCCCUUGAGAACUUUCAAUGUAAAUUAUCUAACCUGUACAAAUAAAAGUAUCUCUAAUUCUUGUUUAGUGCGUAAUCGUAUUUUACACUUUCCCCUCAACUUUUUUUUUACAGGGGUUUACUGGGCAUUCAUACAUAGGUCACCCUAAUAUUCCUAUCAUAUAUAUAGGAGUUUUUUUUAGGAGAUGGAAGUUUGGGUAGUCAAGAUAGAGAGGCAUGUCGAAAAAAACCUUUCUAAUCUCUUUCUUAUUAUAGUAACGAAUAAAUCGGUGUGUUUUCUUUGCUGGUUUCUGAUUUACUUUGCUUAUUAUAGAUCUUGGAGUUAAGGGUUUAAUGCUUAAUCCAUAACAUCUAUCACAUUGAGUCUGUGCAAUACAGAUUUGCAUGAAAGAACAUAGUUUGAGAUUACAGAAAGGCAAACCUUUGGAGGAAUAUUGGUCAUCUCAAAGUAUCCACCGCGUUGCCCACAUUCACCCCAAUAACCUUUGGAAACAGUGUGAAAAGAAACGAGCUGGAGCUCCUUGCUUAUGUUUCCUCCCAUGUCCAUCAGAACCUUCAUGGAUAGUUAUUAACGUGGAUUAGUCUGAAACUGACGGUAUUAAGAAAGAAAAGGAAGUUAAAAUUUUGACCGUUGUACUACCAGUAUGAUCAAACACUGUGUACCAAACAUGUACUCGGAAUUUUGAAGGUACAUUAUGCCAUCCAAGAAAAUUAACGGGACAUUUUGAACAUAACAUGCACUGAAUGUAUACCUUCCGUGCACUUAUGAAGGGACGCUCAUCUUGGUAAAUAUUUUGCUGAUAAACUUCAUCUCCAAGCAACACCAAAUUAUUCUGAUAACAGAAUUGUAACACUUCUUUCAGAUUUGCUUCACUAAGACACUGUCCAGUUGGGUUCCCUGGGUUUAUAAUCACCAUCGCUCGUACCUUAUUACAAAUUUAAAUAAAAAAAUAAAAUAAAAAGAUAAGCUGGAGAAACUUUAAGGAGCGCCAUGUGAAAAAUGUAACUAAUAAGCACGUAUCAAGAUGGUUCCCCCCUCCCCCCCCUUCCCCCAAUAAACUAGAUAUAAAUAAAUUGAUAGUUCUCUGUUAUUGGACAACAUGCAGCAUGAAAACAGGCCAGCCUGAUUCAUUUUUUUUAAGUUACUUAUUUUUCUAAACAUUAUUUUCGAAGUUAAUUUUUUUUACAAACAAAAACUUACUUUCACAGAAAGUAGUGUCUAACCUUAUUUUCUGGAAAAGUAACUUUUCAGCACAUCCAAACAUGCUCAUUGAGUAUACGUGUACAAGGUGUACUUACAGUUAUUCCUUGAGACCGAGCCUGGGCAACUGACUGGCGAAGGUUAACAAUAUCAAGACCCCAAUUGGCAGUUUCCUCAAGAUAAUAGGGAACAAGAGAGCCACCUAAUAAAGAUAUUGUAGCCGAAUAAAGUGGAUAUUGUGGAACAGGGACCAAUAUCUGGUAAGAAAUCAGAACUGUGUCGGUAAUAUUAUGGAAAAGUAGGAAUAUUCAGAAGAAAAAAGGACAAAUGAGAGGAAGAAACAGUAAAGAUGGAAGAGGAAAUUAUGGUUAAAGGAUUAUUACUCCAUCAAGUUCACCACGAAUAAUACAGUUUAAGAUUUGCAUAACUCCUAUGCUGGCACCACCUGUUAGAAAUAUGUGUUCUGGAUCACUGAAAUCAGUUGGAAUCGAUAAGUAAUAAAUUUAAGAAUUAGGGCCCGUUUGGCAUAGUUUUUGAAAAGUCAGAGGGGCUUUUUGAGUUCCAAAAGCGGCUUAUGGACCUGUUUGGUUAUUUUUAUUGAAGUACUCUUAAAAGAGCUUUUAUAAGAAGCUGGUCCAACGUGAUUUCUUCUAAAAGCAUUUCUGAAAUACGAAGUGCUUUUAGAAUUUAGUUUUCAAACAAAAAUUAAAAUAGCCUCCUUCAAAAACUCUUCUACAAGAAGCAAAAACGAAAGUAGAAACCAUGUCAAAUGAGCCCUUAGUAUAACAUCAUAAAACUUAUCAAGUCUAAUUCAAACAUAAUUAGCAUCUUUAGUAAGGUGAUUUGAAAGCACAAUACUUUUAUUAAGAAGCUAAAAUUUUGCCUACAGUAGUGUUUAUGAAGGUCUAAUACUUUUGUACAAACUAUGCGCAAUACGAAUUAAUCAUUGUCACCUUGGAUAUCCAUCACGUCUCUCAAUGAACUCAGACACUUCUUUCCUUAUUCCAGGAAUGCCAUGUGCAUCACUGUAGGCACCUGAUUAAGUAGAAAGUACAUGUUAAAUAGUCUUUGCUGCAUAUUGAUGAUUCUCUUGUUGAAAAUUGAGUAGUAAAUUUCAUUGUUAACAGUUAAUUCAGCUAUAUCUGAUGCAUCAAAAUGCUAGGAACCAAAUCGAUCAGGACAACUGAAAAAUUGACAGCAGUACUAUGAUGUGUGGUGGAGAAGAUGUAUCCAAGAUAAAAACAACUACAAAGGCCUACAACAGAUAGUGAGUGACAAGAGUAAGGUAUCAAACUGAAAAUAAGAAGAAUGAAUACAAAUACAACAAAGUACCAAUAUCUUUUCUUCUUUUUCUAUUUAUUUAAUAAAUACAGUGUCCAACCAAACUCCGCCUAUAUAUUUUUUAUAGCGUGUCUCAAGACUAGAGAAAGGAGGAGGCUAGCAGUAGGUUGACAGCCAACGUUAAACUCUGACAAAUCUUAUAAUACAACCCUAAUUCAUUGUCUAACCAGCAUAGAUAGAUCUUAAUGAAAGGUUUAGACCAGGUAAAGUAGUCCUAAAUAAAAUGGACAUCUACAGACAAGGUUCCUGAGUAGUUGCUAAAACUCCGCCUAUAUAUUUUUUAUAGCGUGUCUCAAGACUAGAGAAAGGAGGAGGCUAGCAGUAGGUUGACAGCCAACGUUAAACUCUGACAAAUCUUAUAAUACAACCCUAAUUCAUUGUCUAACCAGCAUAGAUAGAUCUUAAUGAAAGGUUUAGACCAGGUAAAGUAGUCCUAAAUAAAAUGGACAUCUACAGACAAGGUUCCUGAGUAGUUGCUGAAUGUAACCACUGGGAAGUUUAAAGUAUGUGGCGCUAGUAAUUUGAUGCACCCAGAAGAGUUAUUACAAAAUAAAUGAAUAGAAGUAGUACUCAUGGAGAGAGAGUAUAUAAUUGUGGCAGAGCCUAGCAACUUCACAUUUUUUUUUCUGAAACUGAAAUUUUUGUGUUUGUUUAACCAGUGACCAAAACAAAAGUCAAGAUAUCUGACUUGGAAAUGGAAAACCAGCCACCAAAAUAAGUUAAUAUCGCUCUCUGUAUUAUUUUUUUAUUUUUGGGGUCCUGGAGUUGAUGUUGGAAGCAAUGGAGAGAAUGGGGAAAGUAAAUUAAUAAAGAGAUCUUUGUGGCAAAGAAAAUAAUGAAAAAUGGUAUCAUGAAAAGUCCAUCCAUUUCUCAUGGUACAACUUUACAGGGGUUCUAUAUUUUCUCAAAAAACAGAAUGAGAUAGUGAGUUACAUUACCAAGACCCCCUGAUGUCAGUGAAAGAUAAUGUUUAGCUCUUGCUAUAGCAUCGGCAGGAAAUACAAGUUCCACAUUAGGAUCAUCCAGCAGAAAUGGAGCUUGGCAGAGAGCAACCACCUGCAACAUCGUUUUUUCUUACAGUGAAUUCAUACUACAACAUCAAAAAUGAUAAAAAGAAAGAUACAUGCAACAUGCAUAAAUAUUGAUAAAUAUUUAUACAAACCUGUCGAGGAAAAGUCAGAGGCUUUUGCCCUAAGGCAUGAGGGUUGCCAACAUUUGUGAAGAUAAUCUGCAGUAGAAUCAUGGAAUGAUCAAAUGGCAAAGUAAACAGUCAAUGUGAUGAGGACAUCAUUAUAGUUGGACUUUUAUUAUUGUUUCAGUAUUUUAGUUGGACUUUUAUUAUUGUUUCAGUUGGACUUUUAUUUAAGUUUACGUAUUUUAGUUAGGACUUAAGUAANNNNNNNNNNNNNNNNNNNNNNNNNNNNNNNNNNNNNNNNNNNNNNNNNNNNNNNNNNNNNNNNNNNNNNNNNNNNNNNNNNNNNNNNNNNNNNNNNNNNNNNNNNNNNNNNNNNNNNNNNNNNNNNNNNNNNNNNNNNNNNNNNNNNNNNNNNNNNNNNNNNNNNNNNNNNNNNNNNNNNNNNNNNNNNNNNNNNNNNNNNNNNNNNNNNNNNNNNNNNNNNNNNNNNNNNNNNNNNNNNNNNNNNNNNNNNNNNNNNNNNNNNNNNNNNNNNNNNNNNNNNNNNNNNNNNNNNNNNNNNNNNNNNNNNNNNNNNNNNNNNNNNNNNNNNNNNNNNNNNNNNNNNNNNNNNNNNNNNNNNNNNNNNNNNNNNNNNNNNNNNNNNNNNNNNNNNNNNNNNNNNNNNNNNNNNNNNNNNNNNNNNNNNNNNNNNNNNNNNNNNNNNNNNNNNNNNNNNNNNNNNNNNNNNNNNNNNNNNNNNNNNNNNNNNNNNNNNNNNNNNNNNNNNNNNNNNNNNNNNNNNNNNNNNNNNNNNNNNNNNNNNNNNNNNNNNNNNNNNNNNNNNNNNNNNNNNNNNNNNNNNNNNNNNNNNNNNNNNNNNNNNNNNNNNNNNNNNNNNNNNNNNNNNNNNNNNNNNNNNNNNNNNNNNNNNNNNNNNNNNNNNNNNNNNNNNNNNNNNNNNNNNNNNNNNNNNNNNNNNNNNNNNNNNNNNNNNNNNNNNNNNNNNNNNNNNNNNNNNNNNNNNNNNNNNNNNNNNNNNNNNNNNNNNNNNNNNNNNNNNNNNNNNNNNNNNNNNNNNNNNNNNNNNNNNNNNNNNNNNNNNNNNNNNNNNNNNNNNNNNNNNNNNNNNNNNNNNNNNNNNNNNNNNNNNNNNNNNNNNNNNNNNNNNNNNNNNNNNNNNNNNNNNNNNNNNNNNNNNNNNNNNNNNNNNNNNNNNNNNNNNNNNNNNNNNNNNNNNNNNNNNNNNNNNNNNNNNNNNNNNNNNNNNNNNNNNNNNNNNNNNNNNNNNNNNNNNNNNNNNNNNNNNNNNNNNNNNNNNNNNNNNNNNNNNNNNNNNNNNNNNNNNNNNNNNNNNNNNNNNNNNNNNNNNNNNNNNNNNNNNNNNNNNNNNNNNNNNNNNNNNNNNNNNNNNNNNNNNNNNNNNNNNNNNNNNNNNNNNNNNNNNNNNNNNNNNNNNNNNNNNNNNNNNNNNNNNNNNNNNNNNNNNNNNNNNNNNNNNNNNNNNNNNNNNNNNNNNNNNNNNNNNNNNNNNNNNNNNNNNNNNNNNNNNNNNNNNNNNNNNNNNNNNNNNNNNNNNNNNNNNNNNNNNNNNNNNNNNNNNNNNNNNNNNNNNNNNNNNNNNNNNNNNNNNNNNNNNNNNNNNNNNNNNNNNNNNNNNNNNNNNNNNNNNNNNNNNNNNNNNNNNNNNNNNNNNNNNNNNNNNNNNNNNNNNNNNNNNNNNNNNNNNNNNNNNNNNNNNNNNNNNNNNNNNNNNNNNNNNNNNNNNNNNNNNNNNNNNNNNNNNNNNNNNNNNNNNNNNNNNNNNNNNNNNNNNNNNNNNNNNNNNNNNNNNNNNNNNNNNNNNNNNNNNNNNNNNNNNNNNNNNNNNNNNNNNNNNNNNNNNNNNNNNNNNNNNNNNNNNNNNNNNNNNNNNNNNNNNNNNNNNNNNNNNNNNNNNNNNNNNNNNNNNNNNNNNNNNNNNNNNNNNNNNNNNNNNNNNNNNNNNNNNNNNNNNNNNNNNNNNNNNNNNNNNNNNNNNNNNNNNNNNNNNNNNNNNNNNNNNNNNNNNNNNNNNNNNNNNNNNNNNNNNNNNNNNNNNNNNNNNNNNNNNNNNNNNNNNNNNNNNNNNNNNNNNNNNNNNNNNNNNNNNNNNNNNNNNNNNNNNNNNNNNNNNNNNNNNNNNNNNNNNNNNNNNNNNNNNAUAUAUUUGUUUAAAUUUUGAAUCGGAGAAAAUGGGGGGAAGAGUAAUGGUGAAUAAUGUUUGCCUUGAUUAAAAUAGACGAGGAAAUCGUGACCUAACCAAAGUAGCUUAAAAGCUAGGAAAAUACAAGGGACGAGCACGUGAAUAUUUCUGAAGGCAGUACAGCACAGUAAAUACUAAAUAGUGAUGAAAUUGACAUUAGAUUCCGGGCGCCACUUGCUUGCUUUCAGCCGUUAAAUGUUUUUCUAUUCUCAUCUUUACACUCGUUAUAUAGAAACUUCUAUGGUAAGGCCAGAAAUAAUAUCUUUGACAGACAAGUCGAGAGGUGUAAAAUGAAUUGAUCUCUAAAGCUAAAGGUGUUGAUUGGAUUAUGCUCGUCCAACAAUUAAUUCUUCUUUAUAGGAGCAGAUAGAAAUGUUCUAGGAUCCUUCGGGGGUUUUACCGACCCUUCACUGUAGAGUUCGGUCUCACAUGAAAAAAUAAAAAUAAAAAAAUACGCUGAGGCCCACGACUGUGAGGGAUCUGGCAGGGGUCUGUUUUAGCAGAAUUCAAUGUUUUAUUGUAUCGAGCAUAAAAUGACAUCCAAAGUUCAUGCAUUAGAUCGUUACCUAAUUUUAUAAAAAAAAAAAAAAAAAUACUGAACUAUAGAUAAAUAUUUAACAACAAUUACAUGGGUCAACCUGGCAUGGCUCAACAAGGUGGCUUGGCCUAAAAUUUGUACCGAUAGACUUUUUUGGUGCUAAGAUCCAAAGUUGAGACAAAAACAAUCUAGAUUGUUCAAUAAGGUUCCCUAACAAUCAUUUGUGGAAGAGAGUUCGAUCAAACGAAUAUUCGACUCUUUUUUCUUCAAGAUGAAGCCAAUUCUUCCCAUGCCGUUCAAUAGUGUGAAAACACUUCACGAUGUCGGGUUUUUGAAACGAGCAAGAGGAACUCAGGCCGCUUGAGUCUCCAAUCUAGCUUGAUAAGGUCUAACCUACUUAAUAUUGACCAGAGUCUAAAAAAUCCUAUUUUGAUCUUGUGAUCGUUGUAUAUUUUCACGAGCUUUAUUUGUUCACGAAUAAAUUUUUUUGCUUUGUUACAACAAUAUAAUGAAGUGACCAAAUAACAAAUAAGACUAAAUGAGAGAAUAAAUAUGCUCAUAUAAAGUCUCGAGCAUAGGGCAAACUGUAGUAAAUAUUUUUGAACAGAUGUAAAAUCCUUUUAGGUUCUAAACAGCAAAAGACGAUAUACGGUAGAUGUCCGACCACAUUUUUACAUCCUCAAAUAGCCUCCGUAGUCUUCGUAUUGUUCCAUGAAAUCGUCAUUGAAUUUCUUGAAACUGGCCAUUAUGGCCGGCAUGUCUUCCUCAGCCGGCAAGAUUGUUGUCCUCAGGUGGAAAACCCUACAAAUACAGUUACCGUCAGCUUUGAUCGAGUUAAAAACACUGGCAGUCACUAAACUAAUGACGGAAUUCAUUUUGUUUCAAGUUGGGCAUGGAACUCGAACAUUUGUUACAAUUUAGUCAUUUGCUUCAUGUCCCUUUUUUAAGUGUAUGAAGCUAACAAAUUUUGAACACAGUUUAAGAUCAAUUACCAACUUGAAACAAAAUGAAGUUUUAACGACCACUAAGGAAUUUAACGCUCCUCAAUUGUAUAGUAAGUUGCGACAAAUAGCAGCAUCGAGCUAUAAAUCACCCAAAAUGUGACAUCUUCCCAAAUACACGAUUUAGAGCAUUACUUCACACCAAGAAAAGUAAGGUGGUAUGUAAGAAAUCUUGCAAGAAAACUAGCCAUUAUGAAAAAAUUAAAACUAGACGUACCCUUCCUUUUGACCAAAUCCUGAACCUGGGACAGUGGAAAUGCCCGUGGCUUCUAGAAGCUUGAGACAAUAGAAAACAUCGGGAACUUUGCCGGCAUUUUUUGCAGCCUCUAUUGCUUUAGGAGGUAAGCGUAUUUGUGGGAAGGAAUACAUGGCACCUGAAAUCAUUUUGUUCUUACAAUGAAUAACUUCCAUGUAAUGCAGGUAAGUAGAUAGCUAAUUGAUGGCGUUCAGCGUGUUCUUGGAGGGGCGGGAUUUAGUAAAUCUGUGUAUCCAAAGAAACUGAUUUACCUUCUGUAAAAUUGCAGAUCACAUUUCUACAGCUAUUGAAUCCAUCUGUCACUAUUUGUGCUCUCCUCCUCAGUGACUCGAGGAUUCCUUUGCUGCAAGUGAAUAUCGAAAGAAUGCAACAAUUAAUUACUAUUCAAUAUAAACAAGACCACACGCUAAGCAAUAUUUCAGCCCAAAAGCCAAAACAAAAAUCUUAUGGGUUCUAAAUCUUGAAUAUAUGAAAAGAAUGUAGAUAAUAGAAGACCAUCUCUUUCAAUAUCUAAUCAACAAGAAUGAUACAAAGAAACAUAUAAAGCAAUUCAAAUAUUGAAGCCCCGUCACAAUUGCACAUAAUUCUACUUAUCAUACGACCUGAUUGCUGUAAUUUACUGCCCUCUUCAGGUCCACAGGGUGGCAUUUAAUUGUCUUAUUGAAAGCAUAGAGUGGCCAUGUGUAUAAUAAAAGAUAUAGGGGUUAAAGUACUUAAAAAUUCAAAUGAUUCCAACUGGUUUGUUACCAUUUGGUUUCUAUUUUGCAAUUCUCCAACCAAAAUACAAUAAAUAGGACUUGUGAUUCAACACAACAUUGUGAUUAAUAUACUUCCAUGACAAGACAACACUUUGGUGGUUCGAACAAGUUCUGCUUAGAUCUAAAGAGGAUUGCGUUUGUAAGAAUGACCAAUCUCGCUAAAACAAGUUAGAAGUGGGCAAAAACUAGCAUAUGGCCCUUUGAAGUUGCCAAGAAUCAAGUUGUUUUAUAUCUUCUAGUAAAUCUAGAAAUUAACUUAACAGAGUGGAUAAUGAGCACUCAUGUAACCGGCCCCAAAUAUGUUAGAAAUAAGACUUUGUUUGUUGUUGUUGCAGAUGACAUGAGCAAUGCGUCGAGAAUCAGUUACUUCCACUGAAAUGGAAAAACUGAUUUAAAUUAUUAAAGUCUUUUCUCCAAAUUCCAAAAUGCAGAAGAAAAAUAGGAAAUUUUCCAAAGGAAACUUUUAAAGGUAAAAAAUGAAUUUUGUCCACUAAUUUGAAUUCGUAAAUAAUGUCCACUUUUUGAAUUUUUUAACUAAUAUACCCUUCUCUCUGCAAAAGUGUUACCAUAUUCCUUCUGCACAAAUUUCUAACCAUCUAGGCAUUUUGGCUAAUCUAAGCAAAGUUGAUGAACUUUAGUCCCAUUAGACAUGCCCUUCUCUUCCUUUUUGCAUGAAUAGUGAACCAUCUACGCGUUCUCAUCAAACAAGGCAAAGUUGAUGAGAAUUUCUAGUCCAUUCAAACAUUCUAGUCUUCCUUGUCAACUUUGCGUAGAGGAUAUUUUGAUAAAAUGGUACUACAGAGAUUUUUUAUGGUCGAAUGGCCAUAUUUAAUAAAAAUUUUAGUUGGAAAAAAGUAUCAUUUUGGUCAAAAGAAAAUUGACCAGUUAGAAAGUUUCCCAACAAAAAUCAAACAUUGAAUAGUUCAUAAUUAGAUAUUAGCCGUCGUACCUCUCUCUAACAAAUCUUUCAUAAGAUAUAUCUCCAGGUUUAGGAGGAUUGACCAUAAGCCCUAACUGUGAAAAGGAAAAGAAUUAUAAUUUAGCUCAGGGAUAACAGCAGAAAUUGGAACAAAUGGGUGAAACUAGUUCAAUAAACUUAAUACCGCAAUGCAAGACUCUUAAAAACUGAAGAGACAGAGCUUGUAUACCAAACAAAUAUUAUUAAAUAACUGACUUACAAAGAUCUGCCCAGGGACAUUUGGACUGUGUGAAGUACAAGUAACCUUGUAUAUCUCUUCAGCUGUCUGCAACCACAGUCAACAAUUUAUUUGGCGAUAGGAUUCAGAACUAAGAAUUUUUAUUUUUCCAACACCAAGGCUCUAAAUCCUUAUAUAUAACAUUGGGUACACAUACAGCUGACUUCAGUCUUCAUUUUGCCCUUGAGAACUUUCAAUGUAAAUUAUCUAACCUGUACAAAUAAAAGUAUCUCUAAUUCUUGUUUAGUGCGUAAUCGUAUUUUACACUUUCCCCUCAACUUUUUUUUUACAGGGGUUUACUGGGCAUUCAUACAUAGGUCACCCUAAUAUUCCUAUCAUAUAUAUAGGAGUUUUUUUUAGGAGAUGGAAGUUUGGGUAGUCAAGAUAGAGAGGCAUGUCGAAAAAAACCUUUCUAAUCUCUUUCUUAUUAUAGUAACGAAUAAAUCGGUGUGUUUUCUUUGCUGGUUUCUGAUUUACUUUGCUUAUUAUAGAUCUUGGAGUUAAGGGUUUAAUGCUUAAUCCAUAACAUCUAUCACAUUGAGUCUGUGCAAUACAGAUUUGCAUGAAAGAACAUAGUUUGAGAUUACAGAAAGGCAAACCUUUGGAGGAAUAUUGGUCAUCUCAAAGUAUCCACCGCGUUGCCCACAUUCACCCCAAUAACCUUUGGAAACAGUGUGAAAAGAAACGAGCUGGAGCUCCUUGCUUAUGUUUCCUCCCAUGUCCAUCAGAACCUGCCUAUAUAUUUUUUAUAGCGUGUCUCAAGACUAGAGAAAGGAGGAGGCUAGCAGUAGGUUGACAGCCAACGUUAAACUCUGACAAAUCUUAUAAUACAACCCUAAUUCAUUGUCUAACCAGCAUAGAUAGAUCUUAAUGAAAGGUUUAGACCAGGUAAAGUAGUCCUAAAUAAAAUGGACAUCUACAGACAAGGUUCCUGAGUAGUUGCUGAAUGUAACCACUGGGAAGUUUAAAGUAUGUGGCGCUAGUAAUUUGAUGCACCCAGAAGAGUUAUUACAAAAUAAAUGAAUAGAAGUAGUACUCAUGGAGAGAGAGUAUAUAAUUGUGGCAGAGCCUAGCAACUUCACAUUUUUUUUUUCUGAAACUGAAAUUUUUGUGUUUGUUUAACCAGUGACCAAAACAAAAGUCAAGAUAUCUGACUUGGAAAUGGAAAACCAGCCACCAAAAUAAGUUAAUAUCUCUCUCUGUAUUAUUUUUUUAUUUUUGGGGUCCUGGAGUUGAUGUUGGAAGCAAUGGAGAGAAUGGGGAAAGUAAAUUAAUAAAGAGAUCUUUGUGGCAAAGAAAAUAAUGAAAAAUGGUAUCAUGAAAAGUCCAUCCAUUUCUCAUGGUACAACUUUACAGGGGUUCUAUAUUUUCUCAAAAAACAGAAUGAGAUAGUGAGUUACAUUACCAAGACCCCCUGAUGUCAGUGAAAGAUAAUGUUUAGCUCUUGCUAUAGCAUCGGCAGGAAAUACAAGUUCCACAUUAGGAUCAUCCAGCAGAAAUGGAGCUUGGCAGAGAGCAACCACCUGCAACAUCGUGUUUUCUUACAGUGAAUUCAUACUACAACAUCAAAAAUGAUAAAAAGAAAGAUACAUUCAACAUGCAUAAAUAUUGAUAAAUAUUUAUACAAACCUGUCGAGGAAAAGUCAGAGGCUUUUGCCCUAAGGCAUGAGGGUUGCCAACAUUUGUGAAGAUAAUCUGCAGUAGAAUCAUGGAAUGAUCAAAUGGCAAAGUAAACAGUCAAUGUGAUGAGGACAUCAUUAUAGUUGGACUUUUAUUAUUGUUUCAGUAUUUUAGUUGGACUUUUAUUAUUGUUUCAGUUGGACUUUUAUUUAAGUUUACGUAUUUUAGUUAGGACUUAAGUAAUGGGCUUGGCCCUAUAUUUUUAGGUUUUUAUUAUUUAAACCUAUCUUGGUUUGUAAUUUUGGGACCAUGAAUUGAUUGAGAAUUAUAAAGUUGGCUUGUGGCCGUUUUCUCUCCUCUUCCCCGCCUCUGUCCUUCUUCUUCUCUUCCCCUCCCCAUCUCUUCUUAUUAUAACUAUUGAAUCAUUCAUUCUGCAUCAAAUUGGUAUCAGAGCAAACUUAGGAAAACAGUUAAGUGUUCACUGCGUGGCUCAAAAAUCAGUUACUGCCAAAAUCCGAAAUUGUUAUCACCAAAAAAAAUAGAAAAAUAAAACUGCCACAAACCAAAUAACCGGCCGUGCCUAACACCUUCACCGUCUCCUGCAACUGCAAGUCCCCAGCAGCCAUCUACAGAAUCCAGUCCCUCCCGCCGACACCUUCUACAUAUAACCAACUUAUCGGAAUUACAGCCAAACAAUUGCAACAAAGGCCUUUUCAGUUCACACCCCACCACCCAACCAGCUGAAGCUGAAACAACCAGCGUCGCCGCCGCCUCCGACGCCAUCGCAACGUCCAACCAUACCCCAACAGUCGCCAUCCUCUCAGACGCAGGCGACUCCCAUCAAUUACCGAUUUCAACAUCCAAUCGACCACCCGUCGGCUACUUCUAACCAGUGACCCAAGCAAGUAACUUCACCUAAGUCUUCGCCACUACCAUACUCGUUGUCAAUCGAGCCUCCCACCUCCGACCGACGUUGUUUUCUUCACAGAGAAUCGACAGCCCACGACACUUGGGCUCAGUUUGUGCUUUGGGCUGAGUUAUUACCUUAUAUGUAAAUUAAUUGGGCCUACAUUAUUAAUAUAUGCAUUUGGGCUCAACUGGUUUAAUAAUUAAGUGGGUUGGGUUAUUUGUACUGCUUGGGCUUGUUUAAGGUUUUGAGUGUGAUUUAGGCCCAAAUUUGUGUAAUGGGCUUAUUUAUUAUUUUGUUAUUCUGAUUUUGUAUUAUUAUUAAAAAAAAAAGAGCAAAAAAAAAAAAAAAGAGAGAGAGAAGGUAUCGUGAAUUUUAAAUUUUCUGACAUCAUUUACAGGUUCAUUUUAGUUGACUGUUCAGUACCGCACCUCGACGAGCACGGAAUUUUCUAUCUUGGCAUCUCAGGGCUUAGUAGUUCAGAACGUGGAAACAUUCGACGCUGGGACGACUCAAACCAAUAGUACUCAGGGAGUUCCUGAUCCUAUUUAUUUUUAGUUGACGCUAUUUCUUUAUUUUAGAAUUGCAUCAAUUAAUUCGUUGUGUGCUGGCCAUUUGAUAAUAUUGCCUUCAACCUAUUUGAUUGUAUUUCACGAACUAAAUUCCAUUACUCAAUCGUUUACCCCACGUGACUAGACCUAGUAUUUGGACAUUUGUUUUUCUAUUUUAUUAGCAUUAGUAGUAUUAGCUUGCGAUUGGGCCAUAAGUAAC